rnacentral:lncRNA from 1 species
CCGAUUGGUCAAUAUAACCUCCAGACAUCAAUUAUUAUCGAAAUAAAUGUCGAUUUUCACUAACACUAAUAAUUCCAACACAAUGGAACUAUCAAUUUCAUCUUUAAUCAACACGAACUCAUUCAUCAUUAAUAUUAUAAUUCAUAAUAUUUAACAACCAGGUCAUUCCCAGGAAAGAGGGGGCUUUCCGAUAAGAAUUUCUCCUUAUUGACGCGCAAUUAGGUGACCAAACCUCUUCUUGACAGAACUUCUAGACAUUGUCAAUAUUGCAAAUAAUAAUAUGAAUAACUUUGCCGUCUCAAUUAUUGAUUUAAUAAUAUAUAUUAUGCAGAUGAUACUGUGACAAUAAUUGAAUCAAUAAUAUGAGAGAUAUGAUGCAACAAUUACUGUAGCAAUAAUUGAGUAUAACUGAGUGACUUCUUACGUAAGCAUCAAUAAUCAAUAUUGUGUGCUACUGUGCAACCAUGCGUAUUACUGUACUUUUACUACCGAGUAGUUCAACAGUUUUAAUGGUAACACUUUCGAUUUGGGUAAUAGUGGACCGAUUGACGAAGUCGGCUCACUUUUUGCAAUAUUGGUUAAGUAUUACUUAGACCGAUUAGCUAAACUUUAUGUUAAGGAAGUUAUUUCCAGACAUGGAUUACUAGUUUUGAUAGUGUCAGAUCGUGAUCCACAAUUCACAUCAAACUUUUGGAGGAGUCUGCGAGAACAGAUGGGGACGAAGUUGAAGUUGAGUACGACUUAUCAUCCACAAACUGAUGGGCAGAGCGAGAGAACAAUUCAGACGUUAGAAGAUAUGCUGAGAUCUUGCGUCAUAGAUUUUAAGGGUAAUUGGGAUGAUCAUCUACCAUUAGUAGAGUUUUCAUAUAACAAUAGUUAUCAUGCAAGCAUAGGCAUGCCGCCUUACGAAGUUUUGUAUGGAAGGAAAUGCAGAACACCAUUGUGUUGGGAUGAAAUGGGAGAAUACCGAAUGCUAGGACCUGAAUUGGUGCAGCAAACAGCGAAUAUUUUCAAGUUGAUAUGGAUGCGUCUUGUAGCAGCUCAAGACAGACAGAAAAAGUAUGCGGACUUGCAUCGAGUAAAUAGAGAGUUUGAAGUAGGCUCGUAUGUAUUUCUAAAGGUAUCUCCCUAGAAAAAAAGAUACGCUUUGGAAAGAAAGAAAAGUUAAGUCCAAGGUUUAUAGGACCUUUUGAGAUAUUAAAAUGGGUAGGAGAGGUAGCUUACAUGAUAGCAUUACCUCCAAACUUAGAACAAAUACAUAAUGUAUUUCAUGUAUCUGUGUUACGCCCUUAUAAGCCGGAUUAUAAGCACGUAAUAGAGUAUAAGCCUAUUCAUAUCGAGAAGGACUUAACGUACGAAGAAAUGCCAAUUCAAAUCAUCGAUAGAAAAUAGCAAGUUAUGCGGAGCAAAGUUAAACCUUCAGUAAAGUUGUUAUGGAAGAAUCACGAUGCCGAAGAAGCAACGUGAGAACUUGAAGAAAAGAUGAGGAAGGAUUACCCUUAGUUAUUUUUUUAAUGUAAGACGAGAUUUUGGGGACAGAAUCCUUAUAAGGGGGAAAGGAUGUAACGACCGAGAAAUUUGAAUUUAUUGUAAAAUAAUUUUAUUUAAUUAAAUAAUAAAAAAAAUUAUAUUAUAUGUUAUUAUUGUGUGUUAGUAAGAUGAAGGUUGUUCUAUAACCUAGAUAUGUCGGAAUAUCAUAGUAUUCUGGCUAUGUGAAGGAAUUAAAGUAUUUGAAUUUUCAAGACAAAAAUAAAAGUUUUUCGAGAAUUUUUCUGAAAAACACUAUUCACUAAUUUUUGCUCGGGAAUUAUUUUUGAACUUCCGAGAUAUACGUAACGAUCAAAUAUUAAAGGAAGAUGGAUUAUGUAAUAAUAAUUCAUGUAUGGCAAACAUAAUUUUUCGUCUACGUACUAAAUUCGAGAACAUUAGGGAAAGUGAAACGUUAAUGAGUUAAAGGAUUAUCUUAUAAUAUCAAGUAUUAUACGAGAUAAUGAAUACGAGUAUGAUACGAGGUAUUAUAUGAGUAUAUAUGAAAGUUAGUAUAACGUGUAUGACGAAGGAUUAUACAAACUAGUAUACGUAAAGAGUGCGAUGAUUAUACGUUAAAUGAUUUAAUCCUAUUGCAAGGGACUUGUAGGAAGUUGUAUAAGCCCAAGUGAAAUAAGGUUAGGCCCAAUGUGUGACGCCUCCAAAAUAGGUAUACAUCACGCACUUUGAGUCGUCAAUAACAUGGUACAGAAACAACUACAACUUUAUUAAUACAACAUAUAAACUGUAAGUUUAAAUACAAAUAUUGCCAUCUAGACAAUAUUCACACCCAAAUAAGUCCUCAUUAUAAUUAUUGAUACAUUAUUUUACAAAAAUGGUGAGGACUACUAAGACAAUUUUCUAGAACCAUCAUUCCACACCCCGACUAGAACUCGCUACAUUCUCGCCUCCUGAGAAGAAAAAUUGAACAAAAAGGAAAAGGUUGAGCUCAACUAGCCCAGUAAAGAAUAUUAUGACUAAGAUAAUAUAGAAAUAAUUAUCGUUAGUCUUCAAUAGGGAAAAAUAUGAUAAAAUACAAUAGACAACAAGUUUCAGAUCAUUAUUCGCAGCGGAAAUAAUAAUUCAUAGAUGAGUUACGUAGAGAAUAAAAUCUACUACAAUCAAUGAAUUUAAAAGUCCAUCAUCAAUCUUUUAUCCCUGUAACGUCAAUCAAUAUUCAUCUUGAAUCAAAUAUUCAUCUUUGCACUACAGGCCAAAGAUAUUCAUCAGUUGGUCAUGUUCAUCUCAACACUUGUUCAUCUUUGCACUACGGGCCAAAGAUAUUCAUCAAAAAUUCAUUCAUCUUUGCACUACAGGCCAAAGAUAUUCAGUAAUAUCAUCAUUUAGGACUGAGGAUGAUGAAAAAUAUUUUAAAGAAAACGAAUCCAGUGAAACAAAAGAACAAAUAUUAAGGAUUCGUACUUUAAACAAUCCGAGUUCAAAAAUACUUCUUAAAUAAUCAUAGUGGAGUAAAAUUCAAGAAUAAUCAAAACAUGGAUACAAUCAAAGCUAGUAUCCAUAAUAGAUAUUUUGGACAAAAAAUGAAAAUUUAAUUUUUCUGUGAAUAGUGCCGUAUUCGUGAAUAGUACCGUAUACGUGAAUAGUGUCGUUGACGUGAAUAGUAACCCCGACACUAAAAGACAAGAAUUUCACAAGAAAAAUACUAUCAAUAUUCCGGCAUAAUGAUAUUGUAAGAAAUAAUAUCAUUUUUUUUAAAAAUAAUAUCCCUUACCUUGAAAAGACAGUACUUCUAGUUGGAAUACAGGAUAUAGUGCUGGAGGGAACUUGCACCGUAUAGCAACACUCAAGGUAUCAAAAUACUCACAAGAAUACGCUCGAUAAUAUAGAGAGAGAAAACUUUAGUUUCUGGUGUGAUUUUCAAUUCUAACCUAAGCACCCUAUUUACAGGAAAAUACUUAGAACACCAAAGCAGAAAAUUUAAUAAAAUAUUAAUAUAUUUUUUUAAAUUUCCUACGCACCCUUAUUAUGCCAAAACAUUAGCCACCAAGUAGCCCACCUCACAAAACUUACAAAAAACGUUUUUCUUAUUAAAAAUAAUUAAAACUUUCAAAAAAUUAAUUAUUUCUCGAAUUUCGAAGCUUCAAUAAUUCAUCAUAAAUAGCCCUUUUAUCAGAAAAAUUCAAACCUUAUGUCCUUUCCAUAGGAAAUUCCAUUCUCUACAACUUUGCAGAAGAAAGUUUUUUCAAAUUCCAAACAAAAAUUGACCGAAAUCCAUAAACGAGCGAUUUUACAGGCUAUAAUCAAAUUCCAGUCAAGAAAUGGGCCCACAGACAUGUUUAACAUGUUUUAAACAAUUUUUAGUGACAAAAAUAUUCUUCCUCCUUAUUUAUUCAUAUAUCCCACAUUCAUUGUAAAAUUAUCACCAUUAUUAUAUUAUUAAAAUAUAAUAAUAUAUUAUUUUAUCGAAAAAGAUAAAAUAUCAAUUUUCAACAAUUGUCACAUUAAAAUUUUUUUCCAUUUAUAUCCACAUAAAAUGAAUAUUUUUCUUAUUAUAAUAAUCAAUAAUUAAUUAUUCACAAAUAAUAUUACAGAAUCACAAUACCGACAACCAGGCCGUUCCAAGGAAAGAGGUGGCUUUCCAAUAAGGAUUUCUCCUUACUGGUGAGCAAUUAGGUGACCAAACAUCUCCUUAGACAGAACUUUUUAGACAUUGCCAAUAAUGUUAUCUAAUAAUAUUAUUCAAAUAAUAUGAAUUAUUGAUCUGAUAAUGAAAAUACUGUGUAAUGACAAUUAUUGAAACAACAAUAAUAUAAAAUAUCAACGUAGCAAUUAUUGAAUCAAUAAAAUAAAAUAUUGAACAGUAACUACUGUAACAAUUAUUGAGUAGUGCCUUCUUACGUAAGAAUCAAUAAUUGGUGCAAUACCGUGUGCUACUGUGUUUUAACCACCGGGUAUUUUAACAGUAUUAACGGUAACAACUACGCCAUUUUUUAUAAACAACUUAUAUUUAUCAUUUUCUUCAUCCAAUCGCUUUCCAUUAUGGGGCCCACACAAGGCUGCGUCGUCGUACGAAUAUUCCCCGACAGUAAUAAUAUUCCACGACCAAACGAAUAUUCCUCAACAACAAUGAAUAUUUUAUUACCACUUACUUGUUUAAAAUAUUUGCGCAUUUUACCCAUAACUAACAACAUUAAUCAAAUCAACCCUUACUAUUUCAAAAUAAUAAAUAGAGGAAGUUUAAUUUCAUUUAUAAUAAGUUGGGGUCUUACAACCUCCCCUCCUUAUGAAAUUUCGUCCUCAAAAUUGAUGUACGUACCUGGUGUUUCGAAAAGGUGAGGAUACCUCGCUUUCAUUUCCGUUUCCAACUCCCAGGUCAUUUCCUCAAUAGCAUGGUUCCUCCACAAAACUUUGACUUGUGGUAUGACCUUUGUACGUAAGACAUGCUCCUUCCUAUCCAAGAUCUUGACAGGUACCUCCUCGUAUAUUAAGUCUUCGGCUAUCUCGUCCGGUUCUAACUCAAUAACGUGUUUCGGGUCUUUUACAUUUUUAUGUAGCACAGAUAUCUGAAAAAUAUUAUGAACACGAGACAUACUUGGAGGUAACGCGAGUCUAUAGGCCACAUUUUCUACUCGGUCAAGAAUCUGAAAUGGACCAAUAAAUCGUGGAUUAAGCUUUUCUCUUUUUCCAAAUCUUGUAACUCCCUUCCAUGGAACAACACGCAAUAAUAUAUGAUCCCAAAUACCAAAUUCCACGUCCUUUCGAUGAAGAUCCGCAUAACUCUUUUGUCGAUCUUGUGCCAUUUGUAUACGUUGUCGAAUCAUUUGGAUCUUUUCUGUAGUCAUACGUACCAAUUCUAGUCCCAACAAUGUUGCUUCACCAACCUCAUCCCAACAUACUGGAGAGCGACACUUAUGUCCAUAUAAUGCUUCGAAUGGAGCCACACCUAUACUUGCCUUUGUAAGAGAAUUCCACCAAAGGUAAAUAUUUAUCCCAACUCCCUUUGAAGUCUAGGACACAGAGUCUUAAUAGAUCUUCAAGAGUUUGAAUACUCCUCUCUAAUUGUCCGUCCGUUUGAGGAUGGUAUGCCGAACUGAAUCGUAAAUCUGUGCCCAUAGGUUUUUGCAAACUAACCCAAAAUCGUGAAGUGAAUCUUGGGUCACGAUCCGAAACUAUAGAUACUGGCAUGCCAUACAAUCUCACAAUCUCAUUUACAUACAUAUGAGCAAGAUGUUCAAGGGAAUAAGUCUCCCGUAUCGGCAAGAAAUGAGCAGACUUGGUUAAUCUAUCAACAAUAACCCAAAUAACAUUUAUACCUUGAGAAACCGUGGGAAGACCCGUAACGAAAUCCAUGGUAAUGUGUUCCCACUUCCAUUUUGGGAUCUCAAGUGGUUGUAAUGGACCCUUAGGCACUUGAUGCUCAGCCUUUACACGUUGACAAGUUAAACACCUCGAGAUAAUCUUUACAAUCUCUCUCUUCAUAUUGUUCCACCAAAAUGUAUGUCGAAGAUCACGAUACAUUUUGAUACUUCUAGGAUGGAUUGAAAACGGUGUAUUGUGUGCUUCCAUCAUGAUCUUGUACUUCAAAUCAGAGUCGUUAGGAACACAAAGUCUGGAGUGGACUUGAAGUAUUCCUUCUUCAUUGAUUCUCGCUUCCGGAAUAGCACCUUCUUUUAUUUUCUUCAUUAUACGCAUCAGCUUCGGGUCGGUGGCUUGAGCAACUUUAACUUUAUCGAUUAAAGUCGGUUCUAUGCGUAUACUUGACAUCAUCGCACUCGUUCCUGUAUAUGAUCUUCUACUCAAUGCGUCAGCUACCACAUUUGUUUUUCCAGGAUGGUAUUGAAUGGUGUGGUCAUAAUCUUUUAACAUCUCGAGCCAACGUCGUUACCGCAUGUUGAGUUCCUUUUGGGUGAAGAAAUAUUUGAGGCUUUUAUGGUCUGAAUAUAUCUCCACUUUCUCCCCAUAUAGAUAGUGCCUCCAGAUCUUUAGCGCGAAAAUGACUACUGCCAACUCUAGAUCAUGAGUAGGAUAAUUCCUCUCAUACUCUUUAAGUUGUCGCGAGGCAUAGGCUAUGACUUUCCCAUGUUGCAUGAGAACACAUCCUAACCCUUUGCCUGAAGCAUCACUGUAGAUAACAAAUCCACCCGAACCAGAUGGUAUUGUCAGAACAGGUACUGAAAUGAGUCUCCUCUUAAACUCUUGGAAACUCUUCUCGCAUUCUUCGCUCUAUACAAAUUUUAUACCUUUCCAAGUCAGCUGAGUUAAUGGAGUAGCGAUUCGAGAAAAUCCUUCCACGAAUCUCCGAUAAUAACCAGCUAAGCCCAGAAAGCUACGUACUUCGGUCACCGACUUCGGUUGCUCCUAACUAUGUAUUGCUUCAAUCUUCGCCGGGUCAACAGAUACUCCAUGUUUUGACACCACGUGCCAUAGGAAUGCUACUUCCUCAAGCCAGAACUCGCAUUUCUUCAACUUGGCAUAUAGCUUGUUUUCACAAAGCCUUUGGAGUACCAGCUUCAAAUGGUGCUCAUGAUCUUCACGUCUUUUGGAAUAUAUGAGAAUGUCAUCAAUAAAGAUAACAACGAACUGAUCCAAAUAAUCCUUGAAUACUCGGUUCAUCAUAUCCAUGAAAGUCGCAGGAGCAUUAGUCAAUCCAAAAGACAUGACUAAGAAUUCAUAAUGCCCGUACCGAGUUCUAAAGGCAGUCGUUGGAAUAUCCUCAGUUCUAAUCUUCAACUGAUGAUAUCCAGAACGAAGAUCGAUCUUUGAAAAGAAUUGUGCUCCUUGCAACUGGUCAAACAGGUCAUCAAUAUGAGGUAGCGGAUACCUAUUCUUGAUAGUGACAUGGUUCAAUUCCCGAUAGUCAAUACAAAGUCGCAUACUCUCGUCUUUCUUCUAUACAAAUAAAACAGGAGCACCCCAAGGAGAUGUACUAGGACGAAUGAAACCGAUGUCCAACAACUCCUGUAGUUGGACCUUUAACUCCUGAAGUUCAAUAGGAUCCAUUCGAUAUGGGGUUUUAGAAAUGGGCUUUGUACCAGGUUCAAUAUCAAUAAAGAAUUCAACUUCACAUUCUGGGGGUAGACCGGGAAGUUCUUCAAGAAAUACAUCAGGAAAUUUACUAACAACAGAAAUAUUAUUCAAAUCCGACGUGUGUUUAUUCAAAUCCAUAACAUGGGCUAAGAAAGCUUGACAUCCGUUUUUUAAUAAACGAAUAGCUUUAUGACUUGAUAUGACAGUGAUUGAUUUUAGUGGUUUAGUUGCUUAAAUUCGUACCACAGGUUGGUUAGGAAUAUGAAAACUAACAACCUUAAGAAAACAAUCAAUUUUGGCAUGAUGAGUAGUUAACCAAUCAAUCCCUAAAAUCACAUCAAAAACAAGUAUCUUUAAAGAGAUAAGAUCAACAGGUAAUAUGAUGGUGCCAACUUGGAUCAAACAAGAUUUAUAAACAGUGAAUGUGAUGAAAGUUUCUCCUAACGGAGUCUCCACAGAUAAAUCAAAGUCUAAUUUCUUCGGAGUUAAGUUUAAACGUUGAGCAAAGCAGGAGAGAUAAAUGAAUGGGUAGCACCGGUAUCUAGUAAGGUAUAAACUUCGCAAGAAUUUAUGAUUAGUUUACCCGUGAUCACCUCGUUUGGGUUCCUCGCAUUUUGACCAGUCACGACAAACGCUCUUCCAGGAACCGUUGACUUUGACUUUUCUGGGACAGCCUUUUGAGUCACCAUCCCUGCUGGACUUGGUUUCGCUACCGUACAAUCUCGAACGAUAUGUCCUUCUUUUUCAUAAUUAUAGCAUACCUUGAACUGUUGUGGGCAGUUUGGGCUGAUAUGUCCCUCUUUUCCACAUUUAUAACAUACGACUGGUGGUCGCUCUCCUCCCUUAGAACUAGUUGCUGCUGGUGCUGACAUCUUCACAUUGUCAUUGUUGAAUCUCCUCUUUUUAUAAUCUCCCCCUGACUCGCUUCUUCUAUUUUCAUGACCAUGAUUACCACCAGAGUGGUUACCGCUUUUAUCCGUAUUUUUCUUUCUCCGCUGGUUAUCGUUGUUCUGAUGAUUGUUAUCACCGGUAUGAUCCUGGUUGUGGUCCCUCGGUUGAACGUACUCGUUAUCUCGCUCUAAUAAUUGAGCCCUAUUGAUAACAUCUGAAUAGAGAGAAAAUUUAUUAGAAAUGAGAUAUUGACGUAUACCGGGUUUCAAACCUCUCAGAAACAUUUGCGUCAUACGUUCCUCAUUCUCCACCAAAUGAGGUGCAAACCUGGAUAACUCUGCAAACUUCGCCUCGUACUGGGACACUGUCAUGUUUUUUUGUUCCAAUCUAAUAAACUUCACUUCUUUCAUAUGACGAAUACUUUCAGAAAAGUAUUUGUCAUUGAAUAGUUUCUGAAACGUCUCCCAAGACAUGCUGAGUGCGGCUGGAUGGGUACGCUACACAGAUUCCCACCAGUAAUCUGCCUCAUUGUGGAACAUAAAGGUGGCGAAUGGAACCUUCUGUUCCUCCAUGCAUCCCAAGACAUCGAAUAUCUUGGUAAUUUGCUUGACCCACGUUUCUGCCUUAAUCGGAUCCGGCUUUCCCCAGAAUUCUGGUGGUCCCAACUCUUUGAACUGCUUGGCUGUGACAAACCGUGCGUUGUUAUCAUUUCCACCUGUAUUUUGAACACGAGCCUCCCUCGUCUGAUUUUGCAUGAACUGCAAAAAGCUUCUAAACAUCCCAUCGGUCAUCAUCUGCUCAGUGGUGUUGUUCACAGGAGGAACAUUGCCAGCCUGUUACACGUUCUCCUCGUUGGUGAGUAAAGGUGUCUCCACGGUCUCAUUUACUCCACUCCUAACAUUCUCAGUCGACAUUCUCAAAUACUUCCAUAAAACAAGGGUUAAUUAAAGAAAUUAACAUAUCACAUAAUAUCCCUAUAUUCUGACCAACCAACAAAUAAGCUUAGGGAGGACACAUUAGCGAAGGAUUUACUUGUCUCUCCCCUCCUAGUUCUAUUCCCCGAUCUCCGCCAGAGAUCAUAUCCCUAAGCUUUGAUACCAACUAUGACGCCCCCAAAAUAGGUAUACAUCACCCACUUUGAGUCGUCAAUAACAUGGUAUAGAAACAACUACAACUUUAUUAAUACAACAUAUAAACUGUGAGUUUAAAUACAAAUAUUGUCAUCUAGACAAUAUUCACACCCAAAUAAGUCCUCAUUAUAAUUAUUGAUACAUUAUUUUACAAAAAUGGUGAGGACUACAAAGACAACUUUCUAGAACCAUCAUUCCACACCCCGACUAGAACUCGCUACAUUCUCGCCUCCUGAGAAAAAAAUGGAACAAAAAGGAAAAGGGUGAGCUCAACUAGCCCAGUAAAGAAUAUUAUGACUAAGAUAAUAUAAAACAAAUUAUCGUUAGUCUUCAACAGGGAAAAAUCUGAUAAAAUACAAUAGACAACAAGUUUCAGAUCAAUAUUCGCAGCGAAAAUAAAUUCAUAGAUGAGUUACGUAGAGAAUGAAAUCUACUAUAAUCUAUGAAUUUAAAAGUCCAUCAUCAAUGUAAGACCCCAACUUUUAUGAAUAAAAAUGAAUUUUCUAUAAAUAUCAUUUUUGAAUAUUAUGGAAUAAAUUUGAUAUAAUGUUAUAGUUAUGGGUAAUAUUUAUAAAUUUUGCAAAGUACGCAAGUUGUUAUAUAAUAUUCGAUUGGUCAGGGAAUAUUCGUACGACGACACAAUCAUUGGUGGACCCCACAACAGAAUUAUUGUCGGAUUGAGAAAACGACAAAAAUAUUUUNNNNNNNNNNNNNNNNNNNNNNNNNNNNNNNNNNNNNNNNNNNNNNNNNNNNNNNNNNNNNNNNNNNNNNNNNNNNNNNNNNNNNNNNNNNNNNNNNNNNNNNNNNNNNNNNNNNNNNNNNNNNNNNNNNNNNNNNNNNNNNNNNNNNNNNNNNNNNNNNNNNNNNNNNNNNNNNNNNNNNNNNNNNNNNNNNNNNNNNNNNNNNNNNNNNNNNNNNNNNNNNNNNNNNNNNNNNNNNNNNNNNNNNNNNNNNNNNNNNNNNNNNNNNNNNNNNNNNNNNNNNNNNNNNNNNNNNNNNNNNNNNNNNNNNNNNNNNNNNNNNNNNNNNNNNNNNNNNNNNNNNNNNNNNNNNNNNNNNNNNNNNNNNNNNNNNNNNNNNNNNNNNNNNNNNNNNNNNNNNNNNNNNNNNNNNNNNNNNNNNNNNNNNNNNNNNNNNNNNNNNNNNNNNNNNNNNNNNNNNNNNNNNNNNNNNNNNNNNNNNNNNNNNNNNNNNNNNNNNNNNNNNNNNNNNNNNNNNNNNNNNNNNNNNNNNNNNNNNNNNNNNNNNNNNNNNNNNNNNNNNNNNNNNNNNNNNNNNNNNNNNNNNNNNNNNNNNNNNNNNNNNNNNNNNNNNNNNNNNNNNNNNNNNNNNNNNNNNNNNNNNNNNNNNNNNNNNNNNNNNNNNNNNNNNNNNNNNNNNNNNNNNNNNNNNNNNNNNNNNNNNNNNNNNNNNNNNNNNNNNNNNNNNNNNNNNNNNNNNNNNNNNNNNNNNNNNNNNNNNNNNNNNNNNNNNNNNNNNNNNNNNNNNNNNNNNNNNNNNNNNNNNNNNNNNNNNNNNNNNNNNNNNNNNNNNNNNNNNNNNNNNNNNNNNNNNNNNNNNNNNNNNNNNNNNNNNNNNNNNNNNNNNNNNNNNNNNNNNNNNNNNNNNNNNNNNNNNNNNNNNNNNNNNNNNNNNNNNNNNNNNNNNNNNNNNNNNNNNNNNNNNNNNNNNNNNNNNNNNNNNNNNNNNNNNNNNNNNNNNNNNNNNNNNNNNNNNNNNNNNNNNNNNNNNNNNNNNNNNNNNNNNNNNNNNNNNNNNNNNNNNNNNNNNNNNNNNNNNNNNNNNNNNNNNNNNNNNNNNNNNNNNNNNNNNNNNNNNNNNNNNNNAAAAUAUCACCAUUAUUAUAUUAUUAAAAUAUAAUAAUAUAUUAUUUUAUCGAAAAAGAUAAAAUAUCAAUUUUCAACAAUUGUCACAUUAAUUUUUUUUUUCAUUUAUAUCCACAUAAAAUGAAUAUUUUCCUUAUCAUAAUAAUCAAUAAUUAAUUAUUCACAAAUAAUAUUACAGAAUCACAAUACCGACAACCAGGCCGUUCCUAGGAAAGAGGGGGCUUUCCAAUAAGGAUUUCUCCUUACUGGUGCGCAAUUAGGUGACCAAACCUCUCCUUAGGCAGAACUUUUUAGACAUUGCCAAUAAUGUUAUCUAAUAAUAUUAUUCAAAUAAUAUGAAUUAUUGAUCUGAUAAUGAAAAUAUUAUGUAAUGACAAUUAUUGAAACAACAAUAAUAUAAAAUAUCAACGUAGCAAUUAUUGAAUCAAUAAAAUAAAAUAUUGAACAGUAACUACUGUAACAAUUAUUGAAUAGUGCCUUCUUACGUAAGAAUCAAUAAUUGGUGCAAUACCGUGUGCUACUGUGUUUAAACCACUGGGUAUUUUAACAGUAUUAACGGUAACAACUACGCCGUUAUUUAUAAACAACUUAUAUUUGUCGUUUUCUUCAUCCAAUCGCUUUCAAGGCUGCGCCGUCAUACGAAUAUUCCCCGACAGUAAGAAUAUUCCAUGACUAAACGAAUAUUCCUCGACAACAAUGAAUAUUUUAUUACCACUUACUUGUUUGAAAUAUUUGCGCAUUUUACCCAUAACUAACCACAUUAAUCAAAUCAACCCUUACUAUUUCAAAAUAAUAAAUAGAGGAAGUUUAAUUUCAUUUAUAAUAAGUUGGGGUCUUACACAAUGUUUGUUAGUGCAAGCCCAAAGAUUAAAUUAAAAGUUAGUUAAACUUAAAGCCCAAAUCAAGAACCGGAUCCGUGGAUCGAUCCAAUGGGUAAGAAUAAACCAUGUGGCAACCCAUGUGGGCCCUAUGAUCAUAUGGUUGAUCUUGGUGAGCUAGCAAAUGAUAAGUCGUGUGAUUAUCAAGGAAUGAAUAGUAAGGAGGUGGGAUGGUUUAAUGACGAAACUACCCUCACCUUAGGUUUUCUAUAAAUAAAAGCUUUGGAUUUUCAUUUGUUGCUAAUUCAAAUUUUCACCAACAACUUAUAACUUAUUUAGUAGAGAGAAAAAGUAAGAAAAGAUAGUCUUUUAUAAUCCAAGAAGCAAGAAGAAGAACAAGUUUGAUUAUCAAGGGUAAGAAUCCUAUACCAUUAAUCUUCCAUCUCUUCAAUUGUAGGUUGAUAGAGAAGUGUUGAUUAGUGGAGCAUGUGUGAUAAGAAGUAAUAAGAAUGUCUAAUCAAUGGACUUAAACUUUAAUAAGCCAUGAACAAGUAAUUCAUACUUAUUUAAUUUAUGGACUAGUGAAGAACAUGUAAGAAUUUGUCAUGUGUAUGAUUUAUUGAAAUAUGUUUGGUUAAGAUGUUAGUAUAAUGGAAUAAAUCUAUUUGGAACGAUGUAAAAAUCUUAAGUAACGAAGUUAUGGCGAAAUUUACGAGAUUAGACGAUAAUCGUCGAAAUCGUGAAAUUCUCGGAAUGGAAGUCAAAAGUUAGCAUUGAACUCGGAAACGUUGUUUUUUAAUGGAGAAUAGUCUAAGUUUGCAUUUUAGAGUUGCGGACUCAAAAAUGGUCAAAUUCUGACUUAGAACGAAGAAACGAACUAUGAACGUUCACGAACGUUUAUAGUUUAAAUUAAAAUGAACUAAUCAGUGAAUUCUAAGAUAAAAGAUUCGAAAAUAUAAAAUUUUUACGUGAACACGUAGAGCAUGUGAUUUGUGAGCUAAUGACUUUUGAACAAGCCAAUUAGGACUUAAAAUGAACAAGUUAUGAGCCCGAGAAAUUCACACAACAAAUGAACUGCAAAAAAUUUCUGAGGCUCAGGGUCUGCGCCGCAGUGCGACCAAGAGAGCUAUGGCCGGUGCUGCAGCGCGAGGCUGGAUUAGGAGAUAUUGGGAAGUGGCGCCGCAACGCGACCCCUAGUACUAAGAGUGGCGCCACAACCCCAAGAUUGAGUAUGACACACUGGAAACCCACGCCGCAACGCGAGUUAUAUAAGGGAAGCUGGCGCCGCAGCGCCAGCACUAGGAAGAACAUAGAGAAGAAAAAUUUUGAAUGCAAAGAGAAAGAUAAUUGAUUGAUGAUGAAUUAAUUACUUAAUAAACCUAAAGUAACAUCUUUAAAGAUGAGUAUAACCUUAAGUAAUACAACGAAAGGUUGAAGAAAGAUUACUUGAACCAAUGUUAAUCAAAUCUAAUGAACAAUUAGAUUGAGAAGAAGGGUAAUAUAACCAUACUUGAUUAUAUAUGACCUAAUGUGGUAUGUUAUGUGGUUAUGUAUUGUAGACACCUUAAAGACUCAAAAGAAAAGUAUUUAAAUAGUAGCAGACACUAAAGGCCAGUGUUCUAAUCCCUGUCUAUGUUCAUUCUAGACAAGCUUUGUGAUUCAUGUCUCUUACGCAUGAAUUGAUGUUUGAUGAAGUCGAAGCCAAUUCCUUCGGCUAGACUUAAGAUGUUUUUAGAUUUCUUAUAAUCUAUCAAACUGUUGUCAAGAUUUGCCAAACUAUUUUGGUAUGGUUUUCAAAAGAAGACUGAGUAUGCUAAACAAAUGUUUUGUCGUCAAAUGAUAGGCACGUGAGGUUGUCAAAACUUAAACGUACACACGUUUAAAGAAAGCAGUGUUGUACAACAUAGAGUACUAUAGGCUGAUCACCUAGACAUGCUCGUAAGUAAUGCCGGACUUACGGACUUAGUGUCGGGUUGUCCUUUUCAAAGGAAGUAUAAAAUGCUCAAGGUCUUGAACCGGAAUUAAUGUUUUACUGAAUGUUGUUCAUUGUGAAACAUUUUAAGAAAAGAGAAGUGCUAUUUUGAAUUAUCGAUAGUACUUCAUAACUAUUAUUCAGUUAUUGAAGAUAUACGAUUUGUAUGUUUUAAGCAUAUUGUUUAAAUGGAAUUGUCAUACUUGCUGAGCUAGUUAUGCUCACUCUUGCUUGAACCAUAUGAAUGCAGCUAAGACCAAACGGACCGAAGGAUCCUGUAAAGAUAAAGGGAAGGAUAAGGUGAACCUAUAGAUUUGCCUUUGUAAUAGUAUAGGUUGAAUGUUGAUAUUAUGACAAGAACAAAUUUAAUGGUUAUAAAGAACCUAGGGAAUGGUAAUAUUAUUUUGGAAUAUAUAGAAGACAUAUUCGUUCUUUUGAGGCAUUUCAAUUGAAUGUAUGUGUGAACUGUAGCACCGUGUAGUACCAUAUGUUGGGUUGAAAGAUACCCAAAUUUGGGGGCGUCACACCUUAGACUAGGUUAGGCCAACAUGUCAUGGAUUGAAAACUACAAAAAAUAAACUGUUUCUACUCAAGGGAGGGCGCAGCUGCGCUACCCCAAGCCUUGGCACCGGCGCAACUGCGCUGGUGCUCAAUACUCAGAUCACUCAGCAGGCAUUCCUACUGCCUUUGAUAUCAGCGCAGCUGCGUCGGUACACAGACAGAAACUUGCAGAUUGCGUACCCUACUUCAUAGUUCAACCCAAACAAUCCAAUUUUCUCCAACUUAACAGAAAUUUAACAAAGCUAAAAGCCAUAAACUUAUUAAAAACAUCACUAAGUACGCAUAUUACACUUCUAACAACAAAAACAACCAAAUUUAAAGGAUUAAAAUCAUGAUUUUGUUGUUUUCUCUAUUUUCAACACUUUUAGCGAAUAAGGUAAGAGCACUUAUUCUUGAUAGAAAUUAGGUCUCAUGAUUCACACUGAUAAUUUAGUAGCUAAAGAUGAUUUUUUUUACUUCCUAUAAUCUAUAAUAUCUCUUUAUAGAAAAUAAUUUUAUCUUUUCUGUUCAUUUUUCUUAUUCUGUUAUAGGGGCCAAAGGAUCUUCUAAAAAGAAGAAUGAUUCUAAGAAGGUAAAUACAAAAGGCAUAAACAAAGGAUAAUAAGAACAAAACUGAUACGGAUAGCAAAGGAGUUUGCUUCCACUACAAUAAGCCAGGACACUGGAAAGAAACUGCAAGAAGCAUCUUGCAGAGGCUAACCAGAGGAAGCUUAGUGAAGUUUCGGUUAUAAAUAUAGUUUUUUGGUCAUGAUUGAAAUAAAUUUUUUCUUUAAGUCAAGGUUCUACUUGGGUAUUGGAUACCGACUUUGGUUAUCAUAAAUAUAGAUUUAUGAAGAUACCAAGCAGAAGUAGAAAGCUAAACAAAGAUAAGUAAUCCUAUUUGUGGGAAAGGAAGCAAAGGUUGUUGCAUUAGCCAUAGAAACAUAUAGUUUAGCACUGCCUACAGGCAAAUCUAUUAUGUCAAUAAGUUGUUAUUAUAUUUCAAUUCUCGUUAAAAUAUUAUUUCCAUUUCGUUGUUGGACAAUGAAAUUUUUGGUAUUAUAUUUAAAAAAAAUUGUUGUUCUAUUUAUAAUAAUAAUAUUUUGUAUAGAACUGGAAUAUUACUUAAUGGAUUUUGUAUACUUGACUUUACGUGAAAAUAAUUUUACAAAUUGAACAAACUAGUAUAAGAAAAGAGGAUGGUCAUUCAAAGAGUUGAAUGUGUGUAUUUGCUGAAAUACAAGUGUGAAUUAUUUGAAAAGUUCAAAGAAUUCAGAAGUGAAACAAAUUGGCAAAGUAUUAAGAUUUUUUAAUUAGAUCAAGGAAUAAAUACUUGUGCAAUAAGUUUCUAGAUCAUCUCAAAUGGUUUUCUCAUAAUGGACGCCUCCUGAUACGCAAUAAUUGAUUGAUGUAUCUGAAAGAAAAAAUCAUACCUUGUUGGACAUGGUACGGUCCAUAAUGAUUUUACCGACAUUCCAGUAUCCUUCUGGGGUCAUGACCUAGAAAUGGCUACAUAUCUAGGGAAAAUGUAACCUCAAAAUCCAGCCCCAAAAGUACUCCAUAAAAGUUAUGGACAUGGAGGAUUCCUAAUCUUAAGUAUGUUAAGAUAAGGGGCUGUCCAACUUAUGUGAAAAGGUUUCAAAGGAAUAAGUUUGGGAAAAGAUUUGACAAGUGCAGAUUUAUGGAACAUCCUAAAGUAAGUUUAGGGUACAUAUGUUCUAUAAUCCUACUCAACAAAGGUGUUUGUUACGAAACAUGCUGCCUUCUAAGAUAAAUGUGUUUAUCAUUGAAGGGGCUAGUGGGAGGAUAAUAGAUCUUGAAGAGUUCAAGAACCAUAAAACACUAUAAGUCAAAUAUGAGGAACUUGUAAAUAGACCUAUUGUACCACAACCGAAUCGUAAAUCUGGAAUAGUACCGAAUAUACCUGGGAGGUAUGGAUUCAUCAUAGAUGAUGAAGAUGAGGUACACAUCAUAGAAGAUGAUGAUCUAGUUACAUACGAUGAGGUAAGAGUUGUAGACACUCAGAAAAAUGGAUUGAAGCAAGCUUCUCAAAAUGGAACAUUCGUUUUGAUUAGACAAUCAAAAUAGUUUGAUUUUAUCAAAUAUAAGAAUGAACCUAGUGUGUACAAAAGGGUCAGUGGGAGCGCCGUGACAUUCCUAGUAUUAUAUAUUGAUAUACUACAAAUAAGGAAUGACAUGCCAAUGCUAGAAUCAGUAAUGAUAAAGUUGUCGAAACAUUCCUCUAUGAAUGAUUUGGGAAGAGUAUCGUAAUUGGGAAUACAAAUCUAUAUAGAUAGAUUUAAUAGGGAUGCUCGGCUUAUCCUAGGAAACGUAUAUUUAUAUGAUGCUAAAGUCGUUUAGCAUUCCAAACUCCAAGAGAUGACUCAUGUUGAUGAGCCAUGGAGUCAUGUAUCUCUCUUAAUAUUCCCCAUAGACUCUUUAAAAGAGAGAUCACAUGAGUAACUAUCAUGUAUACAAUGAAAUGUACGAGACCUGAUGAUGAUCAGUCAUAUUCUGGAGAAGUUCACUGUGAAUCAGUGAAAAAUAUCUUAAAGUACUUAACCGGAACUAAGGAUGUGAUCAUAUUUAUGAUGGGUCUGAAUUAAAACUAGAAGGCUUAAUAGACUCAAGUUUUUCAAAUAAACCAAGACGACAGUAAAUCCACUUUAAGGUAAAGCGUUACCUUGAACGGUGAUGCAGUGAAUUGGAAAGGUUUCAAAUAGCAAAGAGUUGCUGGUUUAGUGAUAAAGACAAAGUAUAUAGUUAUAAAUGAAGCUACAAGUUGAUUGUUUGGAUGAAAAGUUCAUUACAGAACUAGGAAUAGUUCUUAAGUCUCAUCUUGGAUCUAAACAUGUGUUAUGGAACUUUCAUUUGAUUAUAGGAAUCAUUAAAAGAUGGGAAAUCAAUGUAGAGUUAGUGGACUCUCAAGAAAAACAUUGCAUAUACAUUAACUAAAGCUUAUCCAACAGCAGGAUAAUCAUCACUUAGAGAAGAAGGGUAUGAGAUACCAUGACGAUUGACUUUAGUGCAAGUAGGAGAUUGAAAGUAGUAUGCACACAAGCCAAUAAUUUUAAUUUGAUGAUAAAGCACAUACUUUGUAAUAAUUUUAUUCAUUUAUUAAUAAAAAGUAUUAAUUUAUUAAAGCCUUUUAAUUAUCUACAUGACGUUGUUUUAUAAUAUGUGAUAAACACAUAGUUUUAAGCAAUGCUUUCACAAUAAUGAUGAUGAUCAUUCUAAUGAGAUAUAAAUUCUUAGAAAGCUUAAAACUAAAAUAGUUCCCAAUCAUUGGAUUACUAAAUUGGGGAUUAGUAAAUCCGGAUAGAUUGGUACAUACGUUGCUUGCUCAUUGGAUGAGGGUGAUUGAUCUCAUGAUCAUUUGUGUGGAGACACUAAAGCAAGUAUGUAGGUGCUUAUUAGAGAAUAAGUUCACUGAACGUGGCUCGCUAAGGAAUACCUAAUGGAGUUUUACUUGCCUGUCAAUAGGAAUUCCUGUAGUGAUAGUAGUACAAGUGAUCCUUGGACUUGAGAUCAUCAUAGUAUCUUGUGUAUGAUGAGUUAUACUUUGACUUAUUCCUUAAGACCCUUAGGGUAUAUCAAAGGGUAUGCUUGGGUAUAAUAAGUUGUACAUGGAGAUAAUGUAUGAUCAAUAAAGAAUCUACCACUUCUAGUAAAAGAAGAGAAAUGUCCUAUGUGAUUCGAUAAAUGACAACCCAGUAGUCCUUGGCCAAGGCAGAAUGAAAUUAGAAAGGAGUUUCUAAUUUGCAUUAUUUGGAGUUGUGCAUUUAAGAGUCGAAAUACAUAUAAUUAAAUAAAAUAAGACUUGACAGUAAUUCCAUGUCUUAUAUUUAAUUGGGACAUUGUAUGGUAGAAGGAUUGAAUUAUACGGUAACUAUUUACUCAAAUGUUCUUUUAUGAUUAAUGUUGAAAUCUAUAUUAUCUGGAAAGUCGUUAAUCGCUAAGGAGACUUAUCCCUAUUAUAGAAUAAAUAUUAUUUAUUUAAAUAAAUUAAUAGUUUAAUUUAUUUAUUUAAAUAAGAUUAAAUUGUUCUAAUUGAUUUAUUCACAAACGGUUUAAUAUGGAGAACCUGAAGGGUCACACCAUAAAGGAAGAAUAAUUAUUUAAGAAGUUAAUGACAUAAUCGUAAUAAUAUGUUAAGUGUAUUUAAUUUAAUCUAUGGUGAUAGAAUAAAUUAAAUAGCUUAAUAUUUAUUAUUUAAUAUUUUAAAAAUAUUAAAUAUAUAAAUUAAUAAGAGGAGCUUUAUUAAUAUUAUUACAAUUAUUAUUAUUUUAAUUUUUAAAGAGUUGGAAAUUAAUUUAAUAUAAAUUCUCUCAUUUAUUCCUAAUAGGAUUAGGAGGCUAAUUAAUUAAAAGAUUUUAAUUAAUUAUUCCUAAUAAGUUUGGGAGCAUAAUUAAUUAAAAAAAAUCCAAAUUCUUAAUUGUUAUGGAGGGUUGCUCACAUCUAUAAAUAAGAGGAGUCUUAUUAUGGGUGUGAGUAGUUGACGCUUUCACAACAUACAUGAUUCCAAUUGUUAGAGAGUACACAUUUUUUUAUAGAAAUAGAAAACUAGGGUUUAGCCAACCACCCUUCUUCUUGAAUAUUUCUUCUUCCUUGGUGGAUCACCUCUAAAGGUCAAACAUUUGGGUGGCUAACGUUGAUCAAAGGAAAGAACCAAACCCGGUGGAUUCAAGUUAAACGCGAAAAGGAUUGGAGGUGAACUUGUACUUGAGGAAGCUCGAAACUUCAAGGGUAUAAUUUUUGUCCUUCAUAUUUUCGUUUAAUUAAUAAUUGUGCAUAAAGGAUGAUUCGGGUAUAUGGUUUGUAAAAUUUUAAAACUCUGAUUUUUCAUGCUUCCGCUUAAUUUGUGCAAUUUGAUUGCGUUCAUGAAUAUUACAUAUCUAACAUUCUUAUCUCUAACCCUACUCUGCAAUGCUAAUAUUGGGUCAUUUACAAGAUAUGAAUUUAAUUUUUUCGAUGUACCCAACAAGUUCCUUAAAUUGAUUUCAUGAAAUUUAAAAGUUAAAAGUUAAAAUUUGAAAGUUCCAACAGUCAAAACAUGUUUUAACCGUUAUAACUAUUUGACCUUUGUAUUGACUACAUGCGUUAAAGCUUAUGAUAGAUGUAAUAUACUACAAACUCGUGUUUUUAAUUAUAAAAUCGCUAUUAAUUUAUUAAUUUUUUUUGAAGUAAGUAUUUGAUAUUUUUAAUUUUAAAAUUAAUAUAAAUUUAAUCAAUACAUAUUUUAACUUAUUUAGAAAAAAAAUACUACUACUUAUAAAAUUUAUUAUUUUUACAAUUCUUAGCAAAAUUAUUAAGUUUGAGAAUGCAUCAAAUUGACUUAUAAAAAUUAAUAAUAAUCUUUUCAUUUAUAAAAGAGAGACUAUAAUUUAUCAAUUGUAUUCCACUGUAAAAUGACUUUUAUUUUAUUUUAAAUUUGAAGUAAUUUAUGGAGUCAGUAUUGAAUGGAUUGUAGCUGUAAAUGUACACAAGAUCAAUAUUAAGUUUUAAAAAGCUAAUUUGUGAUAUUUUUAAAUUUAAAUUUAUUAUGAUUUAUUUAAAUUUUGAAAAUAAUAAAUUUUAUAAUUAAUAGUACUUUUAUAAUUAUAUUGACAUAAAUUAAAUAAAGUAAUAUCAAUUUUAAAUUUGAAUAAGUUUAAAAUUAAUUUUUAAAAAAUAAGUCAAUAUUAAUUUUAUAAUUUGAAAAUGAAGUUAUAAAAAAAUUAUGUCGUGCAACUUGUGAUUUUGAUAAUAUGGUCCUUCUAAAAGCGAACAAUAAUGUCAAAAUGUGUAUGAUUGAUGAGUUUUUCACUUAAAUAAGGGUGUGAAAUGUCAUUUUGCAUAUGUAGAUAGCAAUCUUUUGACUCCCUCACCAUGGAGAGUAAAGUCCUAUAUAGAGAUUAAAAUAUAUAGAGGUCAGGUUAAAUAAGGAUAAGGAAACUGUUGGAUAAUAUUUGUUGAUAUAUUCUUCAAAGUUGGGGAUAGAAAGUUUAUUGGGAAAGCGUUUGUGAAUGCUCUUAAUACUUCCCAUGGACUCCUCAGCCCCGGUAAUUAUUUUGGUAUGCAUAAUUUACAAACAUUAAUUAUAAAUGAGCCUAGUUAUAUAUUCGCUUUGUCUCAUAAUAUAUGACGUUUUAGAGUUGUAUACAAUAAUUAAGAAAAUAAUUAUAUAACAUUAGUAUCAAUUAACUAUAAUAUCCUCUACCAUACUUAUCUCAUACUCUAUCUCUCAUCCAUAACAUUUUUCCAUGACGAGUAAUUUUGAAAAUAUUGUGGUUAAUUCUCCUAAAUUAUAUAAAAUGUCAAAUAAUUUGAUUAAAAUAAAAUCAUCUAAAAUGUCAUAUAUUAUUAGACGGAGUGAGUACUCCCUCUCUUCUUUUUUAAUUACUUUAUGUUUUAGGAGAAAACAAAAAAAUUAAGAAAUGUAAUUAAUAUUUUGUUUGAUUGAUAUUUAAAAUGAAUAUGCAAUCGCAAUAUUUCUCUUUAAAAUUCAUUGAAAAAGAUGAAAGGUAAACAAUUUAAUAUUUAAUAUUAAUAUAAUAUGGUAAACUAUUACGAACGAUCGACAAGUUAAAAAAUAAAUUUUACUAUCUAAAAAGACAAGUAAAAAAGAAAGGAGUACGAUCAUAAAUUUAUGUCAACUGACGUAUGUCAGUACGUGGAUAAAUGAAAUAUAAGAGGGUUAAUAAUGAUCAAACCUUAAUUUAUUCAAUUUUAUUAUCGAUAGUUACACGUAAAUUGUAAUCUAAGUUCAUCAUAAAUUUAUCGACAUAUAAAUUAUUUUUCAUUAUAAGUUUAAAAAUAAAAAUCCAUUUCAUGCGGUAAUACUUCUGCAGUCACAAAUAACGAAUGAAGAAUAUAUAACAUUUUAUUAUUAGUCACCGUUAAUACUUCUUGCUAAUGGAUGGUAUUAGAUUUAUAUAACUCUAAUUGAAAGACGAAAAAUUGUUGAGUUCACCAAUUUAAAACUCACUUUCUACCUUAUUAUAUAUAGUAGAUUUACAUAGUUUAAUUUUGUUCAAUACAAUCAUAAAUCUAUUAUCUAUUAUAUAUAAUACUAAAACACAAUACAUGAUAUAAUAAAUUGACAUCUGUCAAUAAUACUAAAACACAGUACAUGGCACAAUAAGUUGACAUAUGUCAUUCUAAAAAAUCAAUAUCUAUCCAUCCUAAUUAAUGCUCAUAAUUACCUUUUACACAAAUGCCCAUCUAACUUAACAUCUGAGACCGUAAAAAACCUAAAUUCAUUACCUUAAUUCCCCUAAAUCUGGGAUCAUAUAUUCAAAUAUGGCAACUAAAUUCAUUUCGUAUUCGUUCAAAUUCUUUCCAACAGCGAAGAAGACUCAGCCCCAAAGGAUAAACAUCCUAUAUCGGACCCAAAGAAGAAGCUGAAAAGCACAUCAAAGAAGGCUUCUGUAUGCAUAAUCUCUGCCAUAGAUUUUAGUACAGAUAAUCCCUUGGAUCGUUUUUGUUUUUAUUUCAUACUUUAUUUAUACUGCCCCUGUUUAAUUUUCGUCAAUUUCAUUUCUUUCUCAUAAUUAGAUUGUUUGCAUUUCAUUCUUUAUUUAUACUGUCGCUGUUUAAUUUUUGAUAAUUUCAGUUCUUUUUCAUAAUUAGAGAUAUAUAGAGAUGAAUUUAAGGAUUUUUUAAUAAAUUUAUUGGUGUGGGUUGAAAUCGUGGGAGAGAGGUUGAAAUCCAAAACAAGUUAAUGUUUGAUCCAUUGUCAGAAGAUUUCGGCGAUGGUGAACCGCAAGAAACGAACCGUCGAAGAGCUCUACAAUGCGACUGUGAUGAUUAAGAAAUCAGAGGCAUGUAAUUUAUGUUUCCAAUCCUUUCAAUUUUAAUUUUCCCUAAUGUUUCCGUAAUUGAGCACUUCAUUUUUCUGUAAUUAAUAUGGUUAUUUGCGUAGUUAUUAUUAUUGGGAUUUUUAAAAUAAAUUUAAUUUUGAUGUGUUUUUGUUGGUAAUUUAUAACUCCAGUGGCUAUAUAUAAACAAGCAUAUUUUUUUCUUAUCAGUUAUCAUUGUAGACACUCAAAAUUUUUUGCACUCCUAUUACUAACAUUGUAGGAGGGUAGAUCCGUCUUUUGGAGAUAACCCUGAAAGACAGAUUACAUCCAUUCCGGAUACUACCGGAAGUUUAGUUCCAACCCGGAACACAACCCAAGAACGUCAUCUCAAAACCCGGAACACACAUCGGGAAUGUCAUUUCCAAUCUCGGAGAUAACCCCGAGAUAUGCAGAUCAAAAGACCGGCAACAACACCGGAGAGGACAGUUCUAUCUCGGCGAUAACACCGCGAUGCUCAGUUCCAGUCCCAGAGAAACACUGGGAGUAGCAACCCCAUCCUUUGUUAUUUCCCCAAGAGAUGCCAUUAUAGUUCCGGAGGUAACCCCGAAAAUGCUUGUUUCAAACAUAUGCAAUCAGCUUCAACCACCAACAUCCUGUCAAGGCACACACACCUCAGACCCGGAAAUAACAACGGGCAGACAGGAACAUCCAUAGAUGACAAUGAGACAUACAAACAAGCAGCAGUCUAAUCUCAGAUGUAACCCUGAGCAACGUCUGCUUUCCGCUUAAACCGACGAAAACCCCGGUGAGGAGUCACAACGUCAUCUUACCACGUCAAUAAGAUGAUAUCGCGACAUACCAACAAGUAGUCCAAUCUCAGCUGUAACCCUGAGCAACGUCUACUUUCAACUCAAACCGGCGAUAACCUCGGCGAGGAGUCAAACAUCAUCUUGUUCCUUCGACAAAUGGCACGUCAUCUCAACACAUCAAACAUACAUCCAACAAUGUCCCACAAGAACCGAGGAGUGACAAUCCCGAGUGACUAUUACGUGUGGUAGUACUUUGGAUAGAAUUUGAAGCUUGAAGACCAUGGGCAUAUACCCCUCUUCCUGACUUCAUACAACCUCUAAUCCAUGUCAUUACGUAACUCUCAACACAAUCAGUCCAAAGAAGGUCAGAUAUACCUCGUUCGGAUGCUCGGAUUGAAGUUCUGCAAGUUCGAGUGGACAUUACAGUGCACGACUGCACGUACUACGAGAUAAUAGGACCCGCGAGGCUCGGAUCCACCACGACCAACCGUAGGUACAACUACAGCUGCCGCAGGUGUACCUGCGGCCAUCCGUCUAUAUAUACAAGGCUUGGGUCAGCCAUUUGAGAGAGAGGAGAGAAGGAAAAAGGCGAAGAAGCCCUGUCCAUUUUACUCUGCAUACACAUCUUUUGAGUGUUUCCUCUUCUUUAAACACUAGUUAGCUCACAUAUAGCUAUAUUUUAUCCGGCGGGAGCUGAGUGUUUAUCCAUUUAAAGUCAUAGAAGUCUACUUUGGCAGCCCACUGUAAGCCUUCUUGCAUUUUAUAAAGUCUUCUUCUCAUAUAGUACACACUGUUAUACACAUUGAGAGUCGCGUUGUGUGCGUUUGCCCGGACUUCGGUCCGUGGUUUUCAUUUCUGUCUGUAUAUAUAUACUAAUAUAUGUAUAUAUUUCAUAUAUAUGGAUUAACAUUAUCGAGUUAUGCCUUGAUUGAGCCUAGACUUCGGUCUGGAACGUUUAAAUUGCUUUUAUAUAUAUAUAUAUGUAUAUAUAUAUAUAUACUUAUAUAUAAUUGAUGUCGGACAUAUCCGAUGAGCCUGGAUUUUACAUCCGGUGCGUUUAUUCGCUUAUAUAUAUAUAUAUAUAUAAUUGAUGUCGGACAUAUCCGAUGAGCCUGGAUUUACCUCCGGGCAGGACAAAAUGUAAAUAAAGCUGUAAAAUGCCACGAAAUAAACUCUAGGCCUGACAAGAAUGUAAAUAUAUAUAUAUGUACAGAUAUAUAUAUAUAUAUAUAUAUUUACCACUUUUAUAUAUUUACAUUUCUGAUCCCCCAUGGAGUUGCUUCGUGGUGGCUGAUCAUGUCUGUAUAUAUAUAUUUACAGCUUUUAUAUAUAUAACUGCUUACUGCUUUCCAUACAAAUUGCAGUAUCAUGUGAGCCUAGGAAUCAUGUGAUCACAGGUUCAGUUUACUGAAUCUAGAUUCGGUUCCCAUGAUGGACAUUUUUCAGCUGUAAGCAGCUUGUACAUUAUUUUACAGUGUCUGAAUUUCCUUGGAUGGCUGUCAUGCCCAUGAGGAGUUCGGCACUGCUGUAUAUUAUUUUCUCGAGAAUGCUUCGCAUCUCGAAAAUAAAAGCAAACAAGCCGAACAUUUAAUAAUAAAAUGGAAGUAUGAAAAGGUCUCAAUUCCUAUUGAGCACAGGGUUUGAAAAACCUCUUUUACAAAACUUCAUUGAUAUAUCUUGGUUAAAAUUGAAUUUUUCUAUAAAAUUCAAACCUUGUGUAUAUUGGUGCGAAUGAGGCCUUGCACUACUAUUAAAUAAUUACACAUUGAUCCACACAUACACAUAAACACACACAUUCAUAUAACAAUUUCUUUGAGAAGUGGCGGUCACCGUGGUAACACGGAUGUCGGGGGGGUGCCUAACACCUUCCCUCCACAUAAUUAAGCCCCUGGACCCAAAAUGAAUCUCGGUUUCACAAACCCAUUUAGCAGUGUCAAAACACUGGGUCAACGUGCAAACCUUUUCGGUUGCGUUAGUGCAACCAGUUAAAUACACCAACUGGCGACUCUUAAAGUCAAAUCGUCGACAUUAUACAUGUCGGACCUUUUUCACUUGUUUUUUCAAACAAAUCUCACAUUAACAUGAGAACACCAAAGAACAAGAAACGAAAAGGGACACUCAAAAAUCCCGACGUCGACAGGUGGCGACUCUGCUGGGGACUCCAGUAAGAGGGCUUAAGCCGCUAUUGCAAGCUUUUCAAAAUUGUUAAAUGCUUGUGUGUGAAUGUUGCAUUUACAUUUAUGAUGAAUGUGUAUGAAUGCAUUUUUAUUACUGCACUGCUAAAUAUCUAUCUGUGAUAUUAGUGCUUUGCACAUGUCAUCAUUUUGCAUAAAUUUUGAGACACGUUGUAUGUGAAUGUAUGUUGUCUGGUCCCUCCACCAGGAGGCUAUCCUGUCGGUGUUUGAUUACUGGACUCGUGGGAAGAAUGAUUCCCCGGGGCUCAGGAAAGGCACCACUUAGAUUCGCUCCAAUUGAACGACCGAAUUAACUUCCCGUCAAGUAGAUUGCAAUGAUAUGGGAACCUUCAUGCCGAAAAGCCACGAGAGAAACCCUAGGAUAGGUCAACCUCUGAUAAACCAAACGCGGAGGAAAGUUUCUUCAUGCUUUCCAUUUUUAAUUACUUGUAAAACCAUUUACUUGUAAUUUUAUUCCAUGUUCAUCCAUAUGUAAUGGAAAAUAUGAAGAAUAUCUAUGCAUGCAUGACGUGUUGUCAAUUAACAAACUGAUUUUGCAGGAUGAAUUCCCAAAACGGACAUGUUAUGAUAACAUUUAUAUUACCCUAAGACUAAACUACGUAAGUCUUUUGUAAGGAAGCAAUUGGGCCUGUUACCCGGUCAAAAUCCAAAAAGGCUGCGAGCCUACAGCCAAUCAUGUCCUCUUCCGAACAGUCUAAUCCUGUUUCCCGAGAAGAAUUUGAAGGAUUGAGUAAAUAAAUCACAGACUUGGCUGUUCUACUAAAAGAAUUACACCAGUCUACUCAGGGUACGAAGAUACCUACACAUACAGAAUCCUCUACAUAAGGGGGAGUUCAAGGUCUGGAAAAAACAAUUCUAGAACAUCAGUUGGAUACAACCAACAAAGACCUUGAAGGCACCCAUCUUAAAGGAGAUCCAGACACUGGUGACAUCAGAAAGAAGGUCCUUCAAAUGGAGGAAACCAUUCGCGUUCUCAAAGGAUUGGAACACAUGGCAGUGUUUCAUAUGCAGACCUUUGCAUAUUCCCUGGUGUGCAUUAUCCAGAGAAAUUUAAGACCCCUGAUUUUGAAAAGUAUGACGGAUUAGGGGAUCCUUACACACAUUUAAAGGUGUUCAUUGGAGAACUUGGAUCUUAUGCGGAGAAUGAAAAGCUCAGAAUGCAGCUGUUUCAGAAAAGUCUGACUGGAGAAGCCCGUUCGUGGUAUACCAGAUUAGACAACUCUAAGAUCCAUAGUUGGGAAGAGCUGGCUCACGCCUUCCUCACUCAAUAAAGUUUUCAAUCUCAGAUGGCUGCUGAUCGAUACCAAAUUACCAAGGUCAAAAAAUAGUCUAAUGAGUCAUUUAGAGAGUAUGCUCAAAGGUGAAGGCGCCUUGCUGCUCAAGUUAUUCCUUCCAUGAUAGAGUCAGAAAUGGUCAUGACUUUCAUAGAUGUACAAGAAGCUCCUUUCUAUGGGAGAGUUCUAGCUGGUAUUGGCAAACCAUUUUCUAAAAUGAUCAAACACGGCGAGAUGGCUGAAAUGGGAUUGAAGUCCGGUAAAAUUCAAGACCUAGCCGCUCUUAAAGCUGUUGCUGAGCACAUCCAAUCCGGAACUUAUGGAAACAACCCCCAGAGGGUCCAUAAAAAGAAAGAGGAGGAUGUUUCCUUGAUACUACAAGGACAAAAAGGCAAUCCAAACAUGCCUAUGCAGAGGAGAAACUACUCCCCUUUUCCAGUACAAUCUUCAAACCCUCCAUUGCCUAAAAGUGGAGAAGUAAAGUGACCUCGAACGUUCACACCUUAGGGGAUUCGCUCUAGAAAAUUCUUGCUCUUCUGACUGCUCAGAAGAAAAUUACACAUCUUCUUCCACCAGCCAACCCUAAUGGCAGGGGUUUUAAUGCUACUCGAAAGUGUGCUUAUCAUGCCGGGGCACCCGGACAUGAUACUCAAGAUUGUUGGGCCUUGAAACAUAAGAUUCAGGAUCUGAUAGAUAACGGUGAGAUUGUAGUCACCAAACUAGAUCAACCUCAUGUGCAAGACAACCCUCUUCCUCAACACAAAGAAGAAGAGGUCAACAUGAUCAGUUGGAGCACUGUAUAAGGUUCCAAUGGCGAAUCGUCCCAACCAAUCAAAGACGGUGUUGACAAAUGGGAUUAUGCAAAGUUCUAAUUUACCAUGGAACGAAAGAUGAAAGCUAUUUCCAAACAAAUUGAGCAAUUGGCAGAACUGGUGACCCAUCAGCAUCAAGUCACACGCCAAUUAAUCAGGCAGGAGCAUGCACAUCUCCUUCCAUUUGUUAUAAAUGAUCCAUCAACACCUUCAGAAAGCGAAGCUAUGGAGGAUAAGGUUGCAAAGCGAGCAAGUGCUAAAGCCUGUCGGGAUUUUGCCAAUCAAAGGGAAUUCACCUAUCUGGGCUAGUAUAUGGAAAAGAUACUUCAAAUGUUGAUCAAUGAAGGAAGGAUCACAUUCCUUCUCCCUCCCAUCAAUCCCCGCUCAGGGCGGUUCAAUCCUGAUGAAAUGUGUCAAUAUCAUUCACAUUCUCGCAGUCACAACACAGAAGAAUGUUGGGCACUCCGCCAUCUUAUUCAGAAUCUUAUUGAUAGCGGUGUCCUGCAAAUAGUAGAUGAUUACACUGUGCAACUCAAGGGUGGGAAUGCAUGCCCUACCCAAUGGAAGGGAUCAAUAGCAGUUAUCUCCGUAGUGAAUGAUGAGACUGUCAAAGUAUUUCCCAUGCAACCAAUUUAACUCAAAGGAGCUGACAAUCCUUUGAAAGUGGCCGCACCAGAGCCAAUUCCUUUACCUUGCAGACCACAACAUCCUAUUGUCAGCUUGCACAAAGUUCCAUGGAAUUAUGGAGAAGCUGAAGGAUCCACAUCUCAUACUACUGCUACAGUGUCGAAAGAAAAUCCACUGUACCUUCCUCAACGGGUUAUCAAACCUACUUGCGAAGCAAAGGGGAAAUUGCCCAUGGAGAAGAUUGAAAAAUUCCUCCGUACUAUGGGUCAUAAAGAAGCCAAAGUGGUUUUAAGCUUGCGAGAAGCUUCACACCAGAUUUCAAUACUGGAUUUGGUUUUCUCUUCUGAGGAUCAUCGGAAGAUCUUGUUGAAGGUUUUAGAAGAAGCCUACUUGCCAAAAUCAGUGGAUGUGGAAAAAUUUCAACAUUUGGUUGAUCACAUUUUCAACAGCAAUGUGAUAUCCUUCACUGAUGACGAUAUACCUCCCGAAGGGACCGGUCAUUGCAAGCCAUUGCAAAUUGCAGUGUUAUCUUCCGGGUAUAUGCUAGCAGGAGUAUUGAUAAAUGGAGGCUCAUCUCUAAAUAUCUGUCCUUAUGCCACCUUGGUAAAAAUGAAUAUCAAUCUCAAGCGGAUCCAAAGCAGCCAUACGGUCAUCCGAGCUUUUGAUGGAUCCCGACGAAAUGCCGUCGGAAAGAUUGAAUUGCCAAUUGAGAUUGGUUCAAAUACAUUCAAUGUAUCCUUCCACGUCCUCAAGAUAGAUUCAGGAUACAACCUGCUAUUGGGGAGACCAUGGAUACACAUGGCUGGAGCUGUUCCAUCCACACUACAUCAAUAACUCAAAUACAUCAUCAACAACAGUCUAGUCACUGUCAACGCUGAGCUGUAUUAUCCUGAACAAGGAAUUCUACCAAUUAUCAGCUUCAAUUCAGAAGUUGAACCGGCCAGUUUCCAUACUUUGGAAGUGAGUAAUACGCAAUACCAUUCUAUUGGAGCGCCACUUCCUGUACCCAAGAUUUCUGUCGAGGUUAUGUCGGCCACUCAAGAAAUGAUGUCAUUGGGUCAUCAACCUAAACAAGGGCUCAGUAAAGAUAAUCAGGGUAUUCAGCACCCUAUUCAAAUGUCCAGUCAAAUCGGAAUAGCCGGACUAGGCUAUUCUGCUAGUUCCAGUUACAGGAAUCCUCAUAAGCACAAGCAGGUUCCUCAAGCUUCCACCGCACAACGAAUUUUUAUACCUUUACCUUAUGAGUUAAUGCAAUCUCUAGUAAAGGUGCCAGCCCAUGUUGCGGCUAUGCUGUUUCUAAAACCAGUGCCAAUCAAAGCAAAAGAGGUGCUGAUUCCUGAUCCCGAGAUGGUAGAAAAGGAAUGGAAACGUAAACAUAACCUUGCCUUGAUGAUGGCAGGCAUUCGCGUCAUUGUUCAUGAUGAAUAUACCAACAGAUACACCCCAGACGAUGAUUGCCCAGAUGUCAUGGUUAAUAUUCAGGAGAAGGAGGACAAUGACGAUCCUUUCAUCAUUGCAGUCCUUUAGGACUUUGCCCUCGACAAUUGGAGCAGUACUCCAUGCAUUGGUCGACGAGGGUAAAAUGGGCAGAAAAUCCCUCUGCCCUGUAGAUAACUUUAAUUGCUUGUUUUCCUUUACAGCACUAGCAGUUAUUUUAUCACGUACAUGCUAACACUUUUGUAUAAUCGAACAGUUGCAUAUAUUAAGUGAAAGUAUCUUUUGUUUCAGGACUCUGAAUUUAGAUAUGCUUGUACUUGCUGAUGAGGUGCCUUCUCUCCACAAGGGCUAUAACUUUGAUGCAAAGUUAGACUCAGACUUGAUGGACAUCCAAGAGGACAUUGAGACACCUCAGGAGAUUAAGGAAUGGGUCGUAGACAAACCCAAACCCAAUCUUGACCAAACCACUCCUUUCAAUCUCAGAACCUUAGACAACCCUAAGCUAAUCGAGAUUGGUUCAGACCUUACCACAAAUCAACGGAAUGAUAUGGUUGCACUAUUAACCCAAUUCCAGGAUGUGUUUGCAUGGUCUCAUGAAGAUAUGGUGGGUUUGUCCACUGACAUUGUUCUUCAUCGCCUUCCCAUUAAAGAAGGAUUCAAGCCAGUUAGACAAAAACUCAGGCGAUUAAAACCUGAAUGGAGUUUAAAAGUUAAAGAAGAAAUUGUGAAACAAUUUCUAGCUGGCAUCAUCAUGGUGUCUACAUAUCCGGAGUGGAUAUCCAAAAUUGUUCCCGUGCCUAAACCAGGGGGAAAGGUGCGAGUUUGCGUGGAUUAUUGGGAUUUAAACAAAUCUUGCCUUAAAGAUAGCUUUCCCGUGCCCUUUAUCCACAUUCUUAUUGACAAUACUGCUCAAUACGGCAUGUACUCCUUUGCUGAUUGCUUUGCGGGGUACCAUCAAAUUAUGGUCGCUGAGGAAGAUCGUGAGAAAACUUCUUUUAUCACUCCUUGGGGAACCUUUUGUUAUAGACGGUUGUCAUUCGGCCUCAUCAACGCUGGGGCAACCUAUCAUCGAGCUAUGAUGGCUCUUUUCCACGAUUUAAUGCACAAAAAGAUAGAGAUCUACGUGGAUGACAUCAUUGUCAAAUCCCGGAAGGAAGAGGACCACUUAGACCAUCUCACAAAACUUUUCAACAGGUUGCGUAAGUACAACUUGAAGUUGAAUCCCGCCAAGUGCGCCUUUGGUGUUAAGUCAGGCAAGUUGCUAGGAUUCCUAGUCAGCCACAAAGGGAUUGAACUGGAUCCUACCAAAAUCCAGGCCAUCAAGGAAAUGCCCAUUCCUCAGACAGAGAAGGAAAUACGAGGAUUUUUGGGAAGGAUCAACUUCAUUAGCAGAUUCAUUUCUCAACUCACAGCAACCUGUGAGCCAAUCUUCCAGCUGUUAAGGAAGAACUCCUCCAUGAAAUGGAACGAUGAGUGUCAGAAAGCCUUCCUCACAAUCAAAGAGCAACUGAUUAACGCUCCUGUUUUGGUACCUCCCAGGGAUGAUGUUCCCCUGUUCAUGUACCUGUCCAUAAAUGACAAUGCUAUGGGCUGCAUGCUGGGGAAAAAAGAUAAUAGAGGCCAAGAACGAGCUAUCUAUUACCUCAGCAAAAGAUUCAGCAUCAGUGAACACAAUUACACUCUGAUCGAGAAGACUUGUUGUGCUUUAGCAUGGGCUUCCAUAGGGUUACAACAUUACCUCCAUGGUCACACAACCCAUCUCAUAUCCCGCGUGGAUCCUCUCAAGUAUGUGUUCAGCAAACCCAUACUGAAUUAUCGACUGUCCAGAUGGCAGUUGAUCCUACAGCAAUUUGACAUCGUCUAUGUGACACAAAAGUCUAUCAAAGGUCAAGGAAUUAUGGAUCAACUGGCCGCCGCACCUACAAGGGAUUACAAACCCUUAGAAACAUACUUCCCUAACGAAGGAGUAAUGACAAUUCAGCUACAACACCAGUACAAUAUAUGCCGAAUGUGGAGAAUGUAUUUUGAUGGAGCUGUUAAUACAGAAGGCUCCAGAGCUGGAGCAGUCCUAAUAUCUGGUACGGGGGAGCAGUAUCCCGUCACCGUCAAAUUGAAGUUUGUCAGCACCAACAACACAGCUGAGUAUGAAGGCUGUAUCAUGGGGCUAAAACUUGCCCGUUCAAUGGGCAUCAGGCGGUUAACUGUCUUUAGGGAUUCCGAAUUGGUAAUCAAGCAAUCCACAGGAAUCUAUCAAACCAAAGAAUUGCAUUUGUUGCCUUACCAUCGGCAAGUUUUACAGAUGGCUUUGGAGUUUGAAGAAAUCUCCUUUCUACACAUUCCUCGUAGUAGGAAUAAUUUUGCAGAUGCAUUAGCAAUGUUGGCCUCCUUGGUUUACAUACCUGACAAGGAAAACAUGCCAAGCAUCACGUUUACUUUGUAAAAAGCCCCAGUCUAUAGGAAUUACGUCAGAGAAGUAUCGGAUGAGCUACCUCCCAUCCACAAUCCUUGGUAUCAGCACAUCAAGGAAUAUCUGUGAGAUGGAUCUACACCCGCUGAGGCGAGCCUAACUGAGAAGAGGCAGAUUCAUAGACUUGCUAUGAAAUUCUACCUGAGCGGAGAUGAACUCUACAAAAGAGAUGCAGGAUUAGGUCUCCUCAGAUGGUUGGACAAAGACCAAGCUCAGCAACUUAUGGAGGAGAUCCAUGGUGGAUUAUGCGGCCCUCACAUAAGCGGACCCCUACUUGUCAAUAAAAUUCUCAAAACGGGACAUUAUUGGCUUACACUCAAAGCUGACUGUGAUGAUCACGUCAAGAGGUGUUAUCAAUGCCAGAUUCAUGGGAAUGCUAUCCACGCCCCUCCAAGGGAACUCCACAAUAUGAGUUCUCCAUGGCCCUUCUCAAUGUGGGGAAUAGACGUGAUCGGGCCCAUCGAGCCCAAAGCUAGUAAUGGACAUCGAUUCAAAUUCACCAUGAUCGACUACUUCACCAAAUGGGUAGAAACUUAACAUCCUUCCCCAGGGUUACUAAAGAAGUUAUCAUUGCUUUCAUCAGAAAAAAUGUUGUGUGUCGAUAUGGACAACCAGAGGUCAUUGUGUCAGACAAUGCUAAGAACCUCAACAACAAAAUGAUGGAGGAGUUAUGCAAUUCCACAUCAAACACCUCAACUCCGUCAUUUACCGUCCAAAGAUGAAUGGUGCUGUUGAAGCUGCUAAUAAAAACAUCAAAAAGAUCAUGCAGAAAAUGUCCGCCAAUCACAAAGGAUGGCCUGACCUCUUGCCUCUGACUUUAUUAGCCUAUAGAACUUCCAUGCGAACUUCCAGUGGGGAAACCCCCUACUCAUUAGUCUAUGGGAUGGAAGCAGUGAUCCCCAUAGAAUUGGAAAUGGAAUCUCUCAGAGUAUUGAUGGAUGCUCAGUUGGAUGAAGACCUAUGGGUACAAGACAGGUAUCACCAAUUGUCUCUGAUAGACGAAAGGAGAACCGCGGCAAUCUUCCAUGGUCAGUUAUAUCAACAAAGGAUCGCACGAUCCUACAUCAGAAAAGUCUGACUACGGCAAUUUAAACAACAUGACUUGGUUUUAAAGAAGAUCAUUGACAACCAAGAUCAGUCUAAGGGAAAAUUUGCUCCUAACUGGGAAGACCCAUUUGUUGUCAAAGAAGUAUUGAUAGGAGGUGCUCUCAGAUUGCAAGAAAUGGAUGGCGAUGAAUUUCCACAGCUUAUUAACUCGGACACCGUGAAACAGUACUAUAUCUGAAGUUACCAUCAAACAAACAACCUGGUUUUGAUCACCAAGUCACCAGUCAUUCUGGUUUUGAACCCUUUCACCCUUUUACAUGCUCUUCUGCCCCUCAGGGAAACAUACACUUCAAGGCAGCAACCUGGUUUUACUUCAUUCCAAACCUUCCAUACAGUUUCGGUUAUCCUGAAGAUGGGAUUAAACCUUUCACACCUGCAGUUUAUCCUGAAGACGGGAUUAAACUUUUCCACGCCUUCAGUUUGUCAUGAGGACAGGAUCAAACUUUUUACACACUUGCAGUUUGUCCCCAUUAUGGGAUUAAACUUUCUUCUCCCUGCAGUAUAGCCUGCACAUGGGAUUCACACUUCUCUUCGCCUUCAAUUCUUCUUGAGGGGCGAACUACGUUGACCUGAUCUCCCUGAUACCCGGGGGUACGUAGGCAACCAUAUGCUAUAUGGCCCGGUCGCAAUAAAGAAAAACAACAAAAACAUUUCUACCCUUUCUCUACAAAACAACAAAAAUAACAAAAAUACUUCUACACCCUUCUGCCUUCCGCAUUCAGCGUUGAACCUCCCACACUAGGUUCGAACUACGCAGACUUGAUCUCCUCUUCAAUAGGAGUACGUAAGCAGCCAUUCAUGGUGCAGUCUAACCCCUACCAAAACAACGUACUUGUCUCACGGUACUGGGAUCAAUCUUCAAUUCGCCCCAUUUCAUCGGUUUCAGAUCAAAGGGAUGGAAUUACCCAACCUCUUCUUAUAAAUAGAAGAUUCGGUGACCAUCUAAGUUGCGAUCGUGCCUCAAAGAGCAAUACCAACCCAUAAGAGAUGGAAUUAACUAGGCUUCUCACAAAUAGAAGUACUGGAGACCAUCUGUGGUGCGGUCAAUCUCAGAGAGGAAGAAACCACCCUCCUCUCCACAUUCCAUACAGAUACCAGUCCUAAGACACCAAAGAUGGUAGGGAUUCACAGAAAUCAACGAUCCAUUCUGAGAGAUCUUGCGAUGUCUCAAUGUCCAUCUAUCAAGGAUAAGUUCAGAAUGCAUCAAGACCACAAGGCCCUGGAGAAAUAGGAAAACAUCAAGCAAGUAUCAAGGCAUAACUAAAAGGGAAGUGAAUCAAAAUAUAUUUCCCUGCCAUACAUAAUACUGUUUGAUAUAUACAUCUGUGUUGUACAUGAAAAAAUGGCUAAACUAGUCUGUGUAGGAAAAUACAAAGCUUUCUAUAGAUCUGUAUACAUGUGAACUAUCAGAUCUAACAUAGCAUCCCUCUCUAAAGACGGAGGAAGCACUGCAAGCUCCUGCCUAAGGGUAUCUACACGAGCUAGCAGAUCAGAGGCUAACUGCAUGGUGGCAUAAUGCUCAUCAAUGUAAGCACUCAUGUCGGUCAGACUGACAAUCAUCUGGGAUCUAACAGAAGUACUAUCUGCAAUGGCCACAUCCCUAGCAGAUAAGGCGGCAUCCCGCUCCCCAAUCAAUGUAUCCCUGGCUGAUCUAGCCUCAUCCCUCUCUAACAGAGUGGUAUCUCUCUCAUCAAGAGCUGUCAACAUCGCGGCCCUAGCCUGAUCUCUAUCAUAGGUCAUUAGAUGUAAGCUCUGCUCCAAAUGCUGUGCUGAAUACCGGGUAACAGUGGCACUCGGGGUGGGAUAAUCCAUCACAAAUGCUGGCAGCCCAGCAGUUAAAUCAUCGGUGGGAAUAAUAGCCUCCUCUAUAGGCUCCUCAUCGUCAGGAUCAAUCCCCUGCACUGUGGAUACUGCCGCAACCAAUGCAGUCACUGUCUCCAUCCAUGCGGAAUACUCUGCAGAACAACCCAAAUGACUGACAUAAAAAUCAGCCAGCUUUUGCUGAUCCCAACAGGCAUACAACCUGGAUCUUUCCUCCGCUGACAAACGGUGUGACGCGAAGCGCUGACUCACUGCCCCCUCAUACGGAUGGAAAUCCUGAAACUGGUCAAACUGACACAUCACGACCAAUGGGUGGUAAGUGAUCAUGCCCCUCAAUCUAGCCAGAGGGAGAUAAUCCAUGCCCGGAGCAUGAGUAAUGAAGCUGUAGGAUGAGCUUAGCCCUGAACACGGCAAUAUAUCAAAUGGAUCUCUAAGCCCUGCCAGGAAAAUGGACCAGGAUGCAGCAUCCGUACACUCCGCAGGCUGGAAGUAAUACGUCAUGGCUAUGUCAUGGGUGAAACAAAAUCCAUGAUAUCUAAAUGUGCCAAUCGGUCUCAAGUGUGACAUAAACCACACAUACAGCAUGACCGAUCUACCUGUAAAUACUCCUGUCGAAUAAGUGCAGCAGUAUGUAGCUGACCUCAGAGUCUCUGCAAUGAUCAUCGGUACAAUGGUACGACCCUCCUUGAGAGCUCUCACUUCCAUAAUGACGCUGAUAUCCAGCUCAUUCAUGUACCGCGACAUAAAGACGUAUGACAAUACGCAUAGAAGCAGUACAUCUACUCUAGCUGAACGUCAAUGAUCCUCCGGUGUGGUGAAAUCCCCGGAAUGCCGUGCAUAGCUAUCCUCAGAGCCAAACCUAUCAAAUAGGAAAUGCUGGGAUAUCACAUGGCCAGAUGUAAUCUCGUCCUAGACCACCCUACGCCUCAAUCCGGUGAGGAUCAUGAACUGUCUGCUCAUGUCUCCGUUAGCCAUAUGCACGCAAGGUCUGUCCAGCGGCAGCAUCGUCAACCGUGCAUACUCCUCCAAAGUAGGAGUCAACUUCUACAUGGGUCCCACACCUCCAGCUCGCUCCAGUUAGAGUUGCAAAGGAGGUCUCACAAGCUAAAAAGACCAAAUCAGGAAUAAAAAUGCUAUGCGAUUGAGCGGAAUAGCCUGAAAUCCUGGUUUCUCGUCGGUCAGAGUUAAACUCCCGUCAUCUCAAAGGUAUUCACCUGAAUGUAGGGUAUACUAUACCAAUGAGCUCAGCUUUCACAGAUCAUGUCGGUAAUACCCCACAAAGGUCCGAUGCCGUCAAUGAGUGUCAGGCAACCCUGACGUAUCCCCGGCAAGGGUUACAACGCAAAAACCAUGAAAUAUCAAACCUCCCCAACGGGGGUUACAACGCCGAAGUUAUCAAGCAUCUACAUAUCCUCGGCGGGGGUCACAACGCGCAUCCUUCAAACAUCUACGUGUCCCCGGCGGGGGUCACAACGCAAUGUAACCAUUGAUACACACAUUAAUGAAGGUCAAGCAACCUUGACGUCAUAUCAGCCGAGGGCAAGUAAACCCAUCGACGUAACCUUACCUAGCAAGGGUUACAAUACAAUGCUACCAUUGACACAUACAUCAAUGAAGGUCAAGCAGCCUUGACAAUGCACCCAACAAGGAUCUAUCCGGUGAUACACACAUCAACGAAGGUCAGGCAACCCUGACAGUGACAACACUGUUGGCAGUAACUCCAACAGUAUGAGGGAACAUGUUAUACACAUCCUCAAACAGACAAAGCCUUUAUCCCCACAGAUCUCUUCCACAUAAGAGGUACCUCUAUGGAGUAUAAGCCAGUGUCUAGGAUUCAAGACUUUGGUGAUAGCCCCAACGUCAACAUCCUUGGAAACUUGGAUCGCAUGUCCAAGCCAUCACUGAUUGUCAUCCCAAUAGGAUUAUCUGACAAUCACUCAUGCGUUCUACAUGCAUUUGCAUCAUGUUGCUGCAUGUAGCAUCAUGUUUGUCUUGCUUGCAUUUCAAGUGUCUAGUAUUCUUUAUCCUAUCCAUGCCUUGCAUUGCAUGAAUAUGAUAAAGAGGGGCAUCCGUAGACACUCGAAAUUUUCUGCACUCCUAUUACUAACAUUGCAGGAGGGUAGAUUCGUCUUUUAGAGAUAACCCUGAAAGACAGAUUACAUCCAUUUCAGAUACUACCGAAAGUUCAGUUCCAACCCGGAAUAUAACCCGGGAACAUCAUCUCAAAACCCGGAACACACACCCGGAAUGUCAUUUCCAAUCUCGGAGAUAACCCCGAGAUAUGAAGAUCAAAAGACCGACAACAACACCGGAGAGGACAGUUCUGUCUCGGCGAUAACACCACGACGCUUAGUUCUAGUCCCAGAGAAACACUAGGAGUAGCAACCCCAUCCUUGGUGAUAGCCCCAAGAGAUGUCAUUGUAGUUCCGGCGGUAACCCCAUAAAUGCUUGUUUCAAACAUAUGCAAUCAACUUCAACCACCAACAUCCUAUCAAGGCACACACACCUCAGACCCAGAAAUAACAACGGGCAGACAGGAACAUCCACAGAUGACAGUGAGACAUAUAAACAAGCAUCAAUCCAAUCUCAGAUGUAAUCCUGAGCAACGUCUGCUUUCCGUUUAAACUGGCGAUAACCCCGGUGAGGAGUCACAACGUCAUCUUACCACGUCAACAAGAUGAUAUCGCGACAUACCAACAAGUAGUCCAAUCUCAGCUGUAACCCUAAGCAACAUCUACUUUCAACUCAAACCGGCGAUAACCCCGGCGAGGAGUCAAACGUCAUCUUGUUCCUUCGACAAAUGGCACGUCGUCUCAACACAUUAUACAUACAUCCAACAAUGUCCCACAAGAAUAGAGGAGUGACAAUCCCAAGUGACUAUUAUGUGUGGCAGUACUUUGGAUAGAAUUUGAAGCUUGAAGACCAUGGGCAUAGACCCCUCUUCCUGACUUCGUACAAACUCUAAUCCAUGCCAUUACGUAACUCUUGACACAAGAGGUCCGAAGAAGGUCAGAUAUACCUCGUUCGGAUGCUCGGAUUGAAGUUCUGCAAGUUCGAGUGGACAUUACAGUGCACGAUUGCACGUACUACGAGAUGACAGGACCCGCGAGGCUUGGAUCCACCACAACCAGCCGCAUGUACAACUGCGGCUGCCGUAGGUGUACCUGCGGCCAUCCGUCUAUAUAUACAAGGCUUAGGUCAGCCAUUUGAGAGAGAGGGGAGAAGGAAAAAGGCGAGGAAGCCCUAUCCAUUUUACUCUGCAUACACAUUUUUUGAGUGUUUCCUCUUCUUUAAACACUAGUUAGCUCACAUAUAGCUAUAUUUUAUCCGGCGGGAGCUGAGUGUUUAUCCAUUUAAAGUCAUAGAAGUCUACUUUGGCAGCCCACUGUAAGCCUUCUNNNNNNNNNNNNNNNNNNNNNNNNNNNNNNNNNNNNNNNNNNNNNNNNNNNNNNNNNNNNNNNNNNNNNNNNNNNNNNNNNNNNNNNNNNNNNNNNNNNNNNNNNNNNNNNNNNNNNNNNNNNNNNNNNNNNNNNNNNNNNNNNNNNNNNNNNNNNNNNNNNNNNNNNNNNNNNNNNNNNNNNNNNNNNNNNNNNNNNNNNNNNNNNNNNNNNNNNNNNNNNNNNNNNNNNNNNNNNNNNNNNNNNNNNNNNNNNNNNNNNNNNNNNNNNNNNNNNNNNNNNNNNNNNNNNNNNNNNNNNNNNNNNNNNNNNNNNNNNNNNNNNNNNNNNNNNNNNNNNNNNNNNNNNNNNNNNNNNNNNNNNNNNNNNNNNNNNNNNNNNNNNNNNNNNNNNNNNNNNNNNNNNNNNNNNNNNNNNNNNNNNNNNNNNNNNNNNNNNNNNNNNNNNNUAUAUAUAUAUAUAUAUAUAAUUGCUAUCGGACAUAUUCGAUGAGCCUGGAUUUUACAUCCGGUGCGUUUAUUCGCUUUUAUAUAUAUAUAUAAUUGUUGUCGGACAUAUCCGAUGAGCUUGGAUUUACCUCCGGUGCGUUUACUGCUUAUAUAUAUAUAUAUAUACAUUCCUGUCAGGUUUGGAGUUUACUUUGUGGCGGUUGAUCAUGUCCAUAUAUACAUAUAUAUAUAUAUAUAUAUAUAUAUAUAUUUACCUCUUUUAUAUAUUUACAUUUCCGAUCCCCCAUGGAGUUGCUUCGUGGUGGCUGAUCAUGUCUGUAUAUAUAUAUUUAUAGCUUUUAUAUAUAUAAUUGCUUACUGAUUUCCAUAAAAAUUGUAGUAUCAUGUGAGCCUAGGAAUCAUGUGAUACAGGUUCAGUUUACUGAAUCUAGAUUCGGUUCCCAUGAUGGACAUUUUUCAGCUGUAAGCAAUUUGUACAUUAUUUUACAGUGUUUGAAUUUCCUUGGAUGGCUGUCAUGCCCAUGAGGAGUUCGGCACUGCUGUAUAUUAUUUUCUGAAGAAUGCUUUGCAUCUCAAAAAUAAAAGCAAACAAGCCGAACAUUUAAGAAUAAAAUGGAAGUAUAAAUUCCUAUUGAGCACAGGGUUUGAAAAACCUCUUUUACAAAACUUCAUUGAUAUAUCUUGGUUAAAAUUGAAUUUUUCUAUAAAAUUCAAACCUUGUGUAUAUAGGUGCGAACGAGGCCUUGCACUACUUUCAAAUAAUUGCACAUUGAUCCACAGACACACAUAAACACACACAUUCAUAUAACAAUUUAUUUGAGAAGUGGCGGUCAUCGUGGUAACACGGAUGUCGAGGGGGUGCCUAACACCUUCCCUCCGCAUAAUCAAGCCCCCGGUCCCAAAAUAAAUCUCGGUUUCACAGACCCAUUUAGCAGUGUCAAAACACUGGGUCAAUGUGAAAACCCUUUCGUUUGCGUUGGUGCAACCAGUUAAAUACACCAACUGGCGACUCUAAAAGUCAAAUCGUCGACAUUAUACAUGUCGGACCUUUUUCACUUAUUUUUUCAAACAAAUCUCACAUUAACUUGAGAACACCAAAGAACAAGUAACGAAAAGGGACACUCAAAAAUCCCGACGUCGACAAUCAUGAUUAGGAUGCUAGGUGCUUUAGGUGGCUAAUGCUUUUGGACACUGUAACUGAUGUUGUUUGGUUUGCUUUCUAGAUCACCCCAGUUUUGAGUGGUAGCUGUCGAAUGCAAGGGCCAGUUAAUGAAAUAGACUACAGCGAUCAAUUGAAUAAGGUGAGAUUACAGGGUAAUCAAUUGUUGUUCUUAUUGCUAUUUUAGCUUACUAUAUCAAGAAAUUCCUUUUUUUGUAGCUGAUGUAAUUAAGAUUAACCGUAUAUCUAUUUUAGUUGUCUAGGUAUUUUAGUCUCUUUAUUAUUGCCAGUAUCCCUUGUGAGGAUAGGAAAACUAACAUCUUCCUCUACAUCUCUCCUCGUCUUCAGCUUUGCACUUUUUUUUAUUCUUUUUUUUAAACGCCCUGCACUCUCUUCAUGAUACAUAAUUUCUCCACAUCUCCAUGACUAUAAGAUCUUGUAGGGAUACAAGAGCGAUGUUUUAUCACUACAACUGGAUCAUUCGGUAACCAUUAACACCAUCCAAGGUUCAAUUUAGCUGUAUUUUGAGUUUUCAUUUUUUUUAUCAAAUGAUAUCUGACGAAUAUUGUAAAGAAUUGAAUAUUCUAAACCAAAACCCCUAUAGCACUGGGAUGAAAACUGUAGUUUCCCUAUAACUUUUUGCUGAUCUUCAAAAUAUAUUUUCGAGUUCAAUUAUAUAUCUCAGUUUUUAUAGUAACAUUUCUUAAUUAUUAUCUCCUAAAAUCACUAAUUUAUACUCCCACAUAAAUAUUUUGAAUUUGUAAUCCCCUAAAUCACUACAAAUCUAAACAGUUUUAAUUGUUAUCUCUUAAUUUAUUGAAUUUAUAAUCCCCUAAAUCACUACUACAAAAUUGAUAAUAUCUAUACUGUUUUGAUAAUAUCAACUUUUCUGAUAUUAUCCUUUGUAAUUUAAUUACUAACUCCUAAAAUCAUUACUUUUUUAUGUUGAUGAUUAUGUUUCUUUCUUGAGGGGCAUUACCCCUGAAAUACAGCAAGAUCAGCUGAGGUAGCUGAAGAGGUUUAAUGUUGGUGAAUACUUCCCUGUGUUUGAUGGUCUCUAUUCUUUCUGUCAGACUUAAGUUGGGGGCUCAGUUCGUGGUGCAGUGAAACUAAACCAUGGAUCUUAUGAUAUUUCUAUAAACUGGGCUGGUGGAGUUCAUCAUGUAAAGAAAUGUGAGGCUUCUGGUUUCUGCUAUAUGAAUGACAUAGUGUUGGCAAUUCUGGAACUCCUUAAAGUGCAUGAGGUUGGUCAAAUUUAUUUUUUUUUCUUUUUGCUAAUAGUCAUGUGCUCCAGCUAAGGAAACAUCUGCAUCAGUAUUCAGUAUGUAGGCAGUGGGCUUUCGAUUUUGUGUUGCUCAAUAUUUGGAAUUAAUUUUUUUUAAUCACGAUAUAGUAAGGUGGUACCUAGGGGUGCUCAAAAAAUUCAUUUUUUGGUUUUUUACUGAACCGGUUGAAACCGGUACCGGCGGUACUAGUUUUUUUCGAUUUCAAUUUUGUCGGUACCGGUUUUUCAGUUUUUUUAUACUUUUCGGUACCGGUAAUAAAAAUUUUGAAUUCGGUAAAUACUGAAAAAUUGAAAAUUUGAAAAAUCGAAAAAAACUGAAAAGUUGAAAAAAAAACCAAAAAGUUGAAAACUGAAGUAGAUGUUAGCUACCCCCUUAUCAUUAACAUUCAUACAUUCUGCCAAGAACACCCCAAGGGACCAUAUCACAUGUGGACUCCAACAUAUUUUAAACACAACACCCUCUGCUUACAAUCUAACAAUUACACUGAACAAUUCAACUAAGCUUCCUCAAAACUGCACAGGAACAACUCCCUCGUCUGAGAACAUGGACAAAUUUUAACAUUUCUCCACAGAUCCUAUGCACAAAGCUCUUUAGCACCACAGGUUGCAUUAUAAACUAUAGAAGCAUAAGCGCCUUUCCUGCUGACAGUUGGGGCAUUCGCAAUCCGUAAGGAAGGAUUUUAGCGGUAACCAAAAAUUUCAAACUACAAUUACUAUUUACUACAACUAUGAUAGUUAAAUACUCUUGGAGUAACUGUUGUAAUUAGUAUUUGUAAGAAUGUAAUUUACUAGUCUCAUUUCUUUGUUUUAAAAAAUUUGUUAGUAUAAAAAAAUUAUUUAAUUAUUGCGGUAUAAUCAAAAGUCGAACCAAAAAAAUCGGUACCGACUUUGUACCGAACCGGUACCAAAACCGGUUAUUCGAUACCGGUACCGGUUCGGUUUUUUACCGAUGAACACCCCUAGUGGUACUUGAAAUUUUACGUUAUAGACAAGAUUAAAUUCCAUUAUUGUUCUAUCAUUUUUACACCCUUAAAUACCUUUCCAUAGUCUGUUUCAUAACUCAUGCUUACCUUAGCUUAAUAAUUUUAUUUCUCCUAAAAAUUAUAAUAAAUAAUUAGGACGAUAUAACAGUAAAGUGAAUGAAGCCAAGUCGUAGGUACAUGUUCAUUGUGAUACAAAAUCUAUUAAUAAACAAUUCGUGUGAACAGUGCUAAAAAAGAAUAACCUUUUCUUUAGUUUUUGUGUUUCAAAGGUUCAUAGUAGCAUUUAAUUUUUGUCUAUGCUAUGUAGAAAAAUGGGUGAAAUGGAAUUGAAGGGAGUUGUUGUGGUUCCUGAGUAGUUCUUGAAAAUUAAAAGCAUAAAAGGAAGGAAGAGUGGGCCGUGAGUAGUUGUUAUAUGUCAUGUCAUUCAGGAUGUGACCCUCUUAAUGGUCGCCUUUAACACUUUUUUAACUUUUGUUCCAAGGUUUUGAAGGUAUCACUGUUAAGAAUAUCACCAAGGCCUUGAUUUUUGGUAUCUACGAUGAGCCAAUGACUCCAAAGCAGUGCAGCAUUGUUGUUGAAAAGCUUGGUGAUUGUGACACCCCCAAAAUAGGUCCAAUCUAUCCAACAUAUUCUGAGUCGCCAAAUACAUGGUACAGAAAACAACUAUAACUUUAUUACUACAAUUGUCGUGCAAAAUACAACAACACAUAUGUUGUGAGUUUUGAUACACAUAUAUACCAAUUGUGACUCUGGACACCAACUUGUGUCAGCACAUCACCAGGGUAACUUACAUAAAGGUACAAUCAAUAACUGUUUUAGAAAUUAAAAUCUUUGGGAAAUGCUCAAGGAAACCUUCGUACAUUGGAGGCCAUGCGUCUAGGUUAUGAUAGAUAUCAUAUGUCCACAAAAUUAUCCUUGAUUGACCCAAUGGACCCCAAAGAAAAAUGAGAAGAUUACUAUCAUGUUCUUUCCAAUGGUGAGUCUUCUCUUGACAUAUAACUAUCUCCACUGUCUGCAAUUGAAAAUUAUAUUUCAACCAAACUCCAAGAUUAUAUAGGUAGUGCUCGUAGAUAUACUUAGCAAGUGGAUGUGCACAACCCUGUCUUACGAUAACACGAGGUUGUAUGUCAUUAGACAUCUUAUAUGAUAGUGGCAAAACACCCUUCCGAAGUUGGGUUCACCUCACCCUACUGUUGUUCACCAAAAUCAAUUAUUAAGUGAUGUAUAAUAUACGACACACACAUCUUAGGUCCUCAAUACAAUUAUAUAUUGUAUGUCAUGCCGUUUUAUAAUGUGUUNNNNNNNNNNNNNNNNNNNNNNNNNNNNNNNNNNNNNNNNNNNNNNNNNNNNNNNNNNNNNNNNNNNNNNNNNNNNNNNNNNNNNNNNNNNNNNNNNNNNNNNNNNNNNNNNNNNNNNNNNNNNNNNNNNNNNNNNNNNNNNNNNNNNNNNNNNNNNNNNNNNNNNNNNNNNNNNNNNNNNNNNNNNNNNNNNNNNNNNNNNNNNNNNNNNNNNNNNNNNNNNNNNNNNNNNNNNNNNNNNNNNNNNNNNNNNNNNNNNNNNNNNNNNNNNNNNNNNNNNNNNNNNNNNNNNNNNNNNNNNNNNNNNNNNNNNNNNNNNNNNNNNNNNNNNNNNNNNNNNNNNNNNNNNNNNNNNNNNNNNNNNNNNNNNNNNNNNNNNNNNNNNNNNNNNNNNNNNNNNNNNNNNNNNNNNNNNNNNNNNNNNNNNNNNNNNNNNNNNNNNNNNNNNNNNNNNNNNNNNNNNNNNNNNNNNNNNNNNNNNNNNNNNNNNNNNNNNNNNNNNNNNNNNNNNNNNNNNNNNNNNNNNNNNNNNNNNNNNNNNNNNNNNNNNNNNNNNNNNNNNNNNNNNNNNNNNNNNNNNNNNNNNNNNNNNNNNNNNNNNNNNNNNNNNNNNNNNNNNNNNNNNNNNNNNNNNNNNNNNNNNNNNNNNNNNNNNNNNNNNNAUUCAUAAAUCAACGAUAAUUUGGUCAGAAAAAGAAACCAAUUUUUUCGUGAAUAGUAACUCGUGAAUAGUAACUUCGACACGAAAAGAUAAAGUUUCACAAUAAUCCAUAUCAAUAUUUACAACACCUUAAUCCAAAUGUUAUAAAUCACUUAAUAAUCUCAUAAUCUAAUAUUAUUAAUAUUACAAUAAUAUUUUAAUCAUUUCUUAAACUUAUAAAUAAUUUAUUUUAAUUGUUUACACUUUACUAAUUAAUGUAUUUAAUCAUCCUAAAUUGCCAAACUCAUAAGAUUUCAUCACCAAUAACCAAAAUCCUCAUCAAAAAUCUGCAUAUACCUUAUAUAGGAUUCUCAAGCCAUAAAAUCUUAUUUUCUAAUUUUCUUACUUCACAUAACAUAUUUAAUUCAUUUACUCAUAACUAGUUCAUUUUCAUGAAAAAUACCAAAUCAGUCCCAGAAAAUUUUCUUUUCUGGGAUUUAGCAGAAUAUAGUCCAAUAUUGAACAUAUAUUUUUCUAGGAAUUUUUAAAAUUCAGUUACUAUUUUUCAUAUGGCCAAAAUUGACGAAUAUUUAGACAUUUAUCAUAAACUGUACUUUUGUCCAAAAAUUCCAAAAUUUACAGAGUAUACUUCUGUUAUAUACAUGUACUCUCAAUAAAAAUUUCACCAAUUUUGGAGUUACCCACAAGGAGUUAUAAGGAUUUACUUUUAAAAUAAUAUUUUUCCAUAAAAUUCAUAACUCUUAAUCUAUACAUCCAAAAAUUGUCAAUUUUGGACACAAUCUAGAAAACUCAUCAAAUUAUCAUUUCAAUUUUUUUUAGAAUUUUUGAAGGUCCAAAAAAUUACGAAACUGAAAAACAUAAUAACCCUUACAAUCCCUUACCUCAAAAGAGCAGUAUUUCUGACUAGAAUAUCAGAUGUAAUGCCGAAGGAAACUUGUACUGAAUAACAACUCUCAAAGUAUCUAAAUACUCACAAAAAUAUGCUCGACAAUAUAGAGAGAGAAAACUUAUGUUUCUGGUGUGAUUUUCAAUUCUAACUCAGCACCCUAUUUAUAAGAAAAUGCUAGAACGCCAAAGCAGACUUGACUUGCUACCUGAUGGCUUUACCUGCUAAUAUUUCUACCCACCAUUUUUUGAAAUAAAUUUUAGCACAUUUCUUCACCAACCAUAGGUGGGGCCCACUCAUUCUAGAAUUUUUCACCAAAAAUCAUUUAUAAACAUAAUUUCCGAAUCAGUCACCUCUUAAAAUUCAUAACAAAUCAUACGUUAAUUUUUAACGGUUCAAAAUUUGUGGGCAUAUACUCAACUUAUAUAUGUAUAACAUAUUCAAAAAUCACAAUGAUCCAACGGUCGGAUUAAAAUUAUAACUCACACAAUAGAGCUUUAAGAACACUGAUUUAAAAGAACACCUUUUCUUUAAUUCCUUCAUUUAUAACCAUAUAAAAUAUAUUCAUCAUUUAUAUUCACAUAAAAUAAAUAUUUCCUUAUCAUAUAAAUUAAUAAAUAAUUAUUCAUAAAUAGCAUUACAGAAUCACAAUAAUUACAACCAGGCCGUUCCCAGGAAAGAGGGGGCUUUCCGAUAAGGAUUUCUCCUUACUGGAGCGCAAUUAGGUGACCAAACCUCUCCUUGACAUAACUUUUUAGAUAUUGCCAAUAAUGUUAUCUAAUAAUAUUAUUCAAAUAAUAUGAAUUAUUGAUCUGAUAAUGGGAAAUACUGUGAAGUGAUAAUUAUUGAAACAACAAUAAUAUAAAUUAUCAACGCAACAAUUAUUGAAUCAAUAAAAUAUUGAACAGUAACUACUGUAAUAAUUAUUGAGUAGUGCCUUCUUACGUAAGAAUUAAUAAUUCAAAAAAUACUAUGCAAUACCGUGUGCUACUGUGCAACCACGCGUAUUACUGUAUUUUAACCACCGGGUAUUCCAACAGUGUUAACGGUAACGAUUAUGCCGUUAUUUAUAAAAACUCAAACUUGUCAUUUUCUUCAUCCGACAGUUAUUCUGUUAUGGGGCCCACAACUGGCUGCGCCGUCGUACGAAUAUUCCCCGACAACAAGAAUAUUCCACCACCAAACGUUUAUUCCCCGACAACAAUGAGUAUUUUAUAGCCACUUGCUUAUUUUGAAAAAUAAAAUUCAUAUCUCACCCUUAACUUUAACUUUUUAUAAAUUUAACCAUUUACUGAAUAACAAUUAUAAGAAAAAUUAAAUACUUUUAUUUCAUAAAAUUUAGGGUCUUACAGUGAUUAUCUUAUUGAUAAUGUAUAUUAGUUACUUUGGUAAGAGUUUUAUUGUCACAUUUUUCUUUCUAGGCGUCAUUACAUGCUUUUGCCUAAUUAUUUGCUUUUAAAUACUUGCAGUGAAAUUAUGAUACAAGUAUUUGAGGGUGUGUAUGUGACGCCCCCAAAACAGGUAUACAUCACCCAUCUUGAGUCGCCAAAUACAUGGUACAUAAAUCAAAUACAAACUUAAUCAUACAACAGUCGUGUAAAAUACGACAAAAUAUAGCUGAGAGUUUAAACAAGAAUAUUGUCAUCUAGACAAUAUCCACACUCAAUGGAGUCCUCAUUAUAUUUAUUGUCACACUAUUUAAUAGAAUAGUGAGGACUACUAAUGUUAUCAUCUGGACCGUCACUCCGUUCCCUGACUAGUCCUGGCUACAUUCUCAUUUCUUGAAGAGAACAGUGAGAGAAAGGGUAAGCUCAACUAGCCUAGUAAAAAAUAUUAUGACUAAGUUAAUGCAGAAUAAAUUAUCAUUAGCCUUCAACAAUGUUAAACUGAUAGAAUAUAAUGGACAAUAAGUUUAACUACAGCGGAACAAGUAAUCCAUUAGAAAAGUCAAGUAGAGCAUAAAGUCUACUAUCUUCUAUGGUUUAAAAAAAAUUUCAUCAACUUUAUCGCUGAGACUCAGCUUAAUUAAUAAAAUUGAAUCAUCCCUGUAUCACGACCAAGGAUAUUCAUGUAAUCAUCAAUGGUUAUGACUAUACCGAAUAAUCCCUGAUUAUAAUCACACCAACAACUGUCCAUCAAUGAACUACAGGCCAAUGAGGACUUUUACCACAUCAUUCGUCACAUUGCGAUCAUGAUUAUACCGAAUAAUCCCUGGUCAUAAUCAUACCAAGUCCAUUUAUGCACGUAAGCCAAAGAUGGCUUUCAUCACAAUAUAAGCAUGAGGAUGAUGACAAUGACAUAAUAAUUCAAUAAAACAAGUUCAUGGAUAAAUUUUAAAGAUUUGUAAUUUUAAUUUAUCCAGAAAUUAAUAACGUCCAAAUUGUCAACAUGAUACUUCUUUGUGGAGUAAAAUUCAAAAAUGCUCAGAAGAAUAUUUCCAUAAAAAGAUACUGGAUGAAGCACAAAUAUCAAGGAUAUUCCACUAAUUUCAUGGAGUAUAGAAGCCAAAUUUUUAACAAACUGAGUAUAAUAGAAUAUAUGAAACCGCAAAUAAAUUUUUGCCCGCCAUACGGUAAUCCACGUAGACAGAUCAUUUCCACAAUUUAAUAAGGAAUGAAUACGAAGGAUCAUUCACCAUGCAUGCGGUAAUCCACAUAGACAGGUUAUUCCAACAGAAUAAUAAAGAAUGGAAUAACAGAAGAAUUCACCAUGCAUGCGAUAGACCGCACAGAUAGGUUAUUCCCAACAGAAUAAUAAAGAAUGGAACCAGGUCAUGCGUAAUCCGCACAGACAGGAUAUUCCAACAGAAUAAUAAAGAAUGGAAUAACAACAGAAUUCACCAGGCAUGCGAUAGACCGCACAGACAGGUUAUUCCAACAGAAUAAUAAAGAAUGGAAUAACAGAAGAAUUUCACCAUGUAUGCGGUACUUCGCAUAGACAGGUUAUUCCAACAUAAUAAUAAAGAAUGGAAUAACAACCCUUACGAGUAUUGAAAGAAAAUAACUCUCUUCAUGAAUACGAAAGAAUAAUACCCCUUACCUUAGAAGAAAACUGGAUACUGGAAUAGUGAGGUAGCAGACUUCUCUUCUUCUUUCUCUCUAUAAUUUCUCUCUAUAAUAAUUGCUCUAUAGCUUUAGUGAAUUGGUGAGAAAUGAAGGAAGAAUGAGCUUCUAUUUAUAGGAAAAUAUAGUUUCGAUAAUUGCACGUUUUGGGGCUCGAAAUAUUACAGUAUAAUACCUUCCUCUUUUUCUUCAUUUUUAAUUUAGUCCUGCAAGUAUUAUCAAACUUGCACCACCUCCCCUAAUAGUAAAUAAUGUGAAUCAAUAGUUCAAUCAUGUGAAUCAAUAGUUAUAAUCAUGUGAAAAUACGAAUUACAGUAUAGUACCUCCAUCUAUACCUCCAUUUUUAACUUAGUCAUGCAAGUAUUAUCAAUCUUGCACCAACUCCCCUAAUAGUACAAGAAUGUGAAUCAAUAGUACACACAUGUGAACAAAUAGUUAUAAUCAUGUGAAUUAAUAGCAAUUAAUUGCUCAUUUAUCCGAUUAAUUACCCGAUUGGUCAAUAUAACCUCCAGACAUCAAUUAUUAUCGAAAUAAAUGUCGAUUUUCACUAACACUAAUAAUUCCAACACAAUGGAACUAUCAAUUUCAUCUUUAAUCAACACGAACUUAUUCAUCAUUAAUAUUAUAACUCACAAUAUUUAACAACCAGGUCGUUCCCAGGAAAGAGGGGGCUUUCCGAUAAGGAUUUCUCCUUAUUGGCGCGCAAUUAGGUGACCAAACCUCUCCUUGACAGAACUUCUA